rnacentral:lncRNA from 1 species
UUGUGUUUGAGGGUUUUUUUUUUAUGGUUGAUCGGUCUAAGGCGAACUCACCAAAAAGAGUUUUUUUUUUCUUUUUAUUUUAUCUUUGAGGCUUUUCAUUCAGUAAGCCUUCUUUAGACCGGAGCCUUAGUCGAUCGCCUCAUUUGCCUAAGAGUUGGGUCGGCUCUAAUCUUGGUGAGUUGUUAGCUCGCUGUUCAUCUUUAUAUUAUUUUCAAAAUAUCAAAAAAUAGUGUUGUGAGUUGAAUGCCGAAGAGUUUAUGUUUAAAGUGGUCUUUUUAUUUUAUUUUGAUCUUAAUUUAUGUAAUAAAAAGAUAUUGUGUAUGAACUUUUUAAUAAUUUAAAGGCAGUGUCUUGCAUUAAUCUUUACUUAAUGUUAUGGAAUUAUUACUAUUGGAAUUUUUAUGUCAGAAUCUUAUAAAUUCUUUAAAUUUGAUAUAGACAAUUCAUUGUUGCGGGGAGAAAUAUGUUUCUAAAAAAAAAAAAAUCCCAAUGAGGCCUUGCACUUUUUAUAGGGCCAAGCUUUAUUGAAUGUGUGGCUAUUUGCCACAUGCCUAACUCCCACCAAUAGAUUGCAGCACGAAAAUUACAAUAAAAACUGGUAGUAAUUAGUAACUAUUUUCAAGGACGAAUAAUUACGUAGUGAAACUGAAUAGAUCACAUAUUGCGCAAGAAUACAUAGGAAGGGUGUAGGUUUUGGGUAAAGCAAUACCAAAUGAAUGAGGAGUAAUUCCCUCAUUCUAUGAGAAUGUAAACUAUGAUUGUUAUAGUUGUUUUAUGCAUAUAAAAAAAAAUAGUUUUAUCGCUAUAUUUUCACUCUUUCAAUAGAAAUUUAUCAUUUAGGGACCACUACCAAGUGGCACAAAAUUGAAGUUUGGUCAUGCCAAUUCGCCAAGUUAUAUUAUUACUAGAGUUCGGCAUGGACAAAGUAUUCCUCUAGAAAAAGAGUUGAGUCAAUUAUAAAAUUAUAUAUGUGCGUCUAUUAUUUUUUAAAUUCCGAAAGGUGGAAUUUUUGGACUCUAGAGAAAAGCAUGGAGUCUAGAUCAUGCGUCUUCUUUUUAAGAAAACAAAGAAUGUAGAAAAAUAAGAUAUGGAGAUGAAGAGGGGCGUUUUCCUUUUUCUUUUUCCCGAUAUUGGAUCUACAGUAAGAUUCCAACCUCUAAAGCCGGCAAUAAGAAAUCUACCUCGAAGCCUUUUUUUAUUAUAUAUUAGUGGAUAUAACUAAUUUUAUAGUAAUUCAUAGUAUUUCAUGAAAAAAAAAAAGUGCUAGAUUGCGGAAUUGAAGAAAUUAAGACAACAAUAACAAUGUCAUUUAAUCUCAAGAAGCUAGAUGAUGGCCAAAAUUUGAUCGAUGGCAUCCCUUGCGAAUAACUUGCCUUAAUAUAACUGAAGAGGUCUGCUUGUGGUUAAAGUGCUCAACAUGGCCUUUUGAUAAUUUUAUGUAAUAUUUAUAUAUUGUUAAUUUAAGCAAAUGAAACAAAUGCAGCCACUUAUUUUUAGAGCCAAACGAAACCUUGAGUCAAUCAAUCAAUUUAUUUAGUAGGUUUUAUAAGGCUCCUUCAUAGCAUGAAGGUAUGUUUUCUUUUUUUGAGUAAAACUAUAAUAAAAUAUUAAAACUAUAAAACAAAACUUUAAAAUGUUUUGCAAGUCAUGGAAUUAGGUUUUGCAGCUUUACAAGUGGAGCACAAAACCCUACACACUUGUAGGGAGGGGAGGGGAGGAGCUGAAUAAACAAGCAACUAAAAAAUCUGCCUAAGAAUAAUAUCUUAUUGAUCCAAGAAAAAUGCCCAACUAAAUUUAGUGGUCACAAGAUUGGUUAGGCCCACUGCAUUAUGCAUCACACACAAAUCUUGGAAACUUGUGUUUCAUAUAUAAUGAUCAUUCUAAUACAUUAAUGAAACACCUAAACUAGCAUCAUGCUUUUAAAGAAGAUUUUCAAUGUUAAUCGGCCAUCCCACCCAACCUUGUUGCAAAAAAUGAAGCUUCCAUUGCAUAGCGCUGAAUUUUUGCCUUGUGAAUUAAUUGCUCAUCCAAUGUAACUAUGGAUAGGUGACAUUAUAAAAGAAUAGUUUUCCUUGAAAAAUUGAAUAAAGAUAUACCAAUGUCAAACCAUGAUCCCAGCCUUUAGAUAGCCCCACAUCAUCAGCAUGAGGUGCCUUGCUUUUUUUUUCUCUUUUUCCUUUCUCUUUUUUUUGGAGGACCCACUAGAAAACCAUGCAAACUAACACCUGUGAUAAUUCAUCAAUAAUUAUGAAAGACAAGAGUGGAGAAUAAAUAGUACAAGAACCAUGAUGCAAGACUAAGCUAACUCUCAGCAAGCAAGUUAAAAAUUAUUAGGCUUGCUGGAUAAUGUUAAAAUUAGACAUUCAAGAAUAAUUGCUCUUUCUUAUUAUUUUAUUUCUUUUUUUUGGCUAAGAGUGAUGAUUCACACUAUUCUAGUAUAAAUACAUCCAAAAAAAUCAAAAAUAAAAUGCUAGAAGAAUGCCUUUGGUAUCGGUGCCAAGUCGGUCCACAAUACAUUACCAAAAUGCUCGACCAUCCAAUUUGUAGUCUCAUUCAUCUUAGGUUAGUCUACUAGUUUUUUAAAAAUUAUCCGUUUGUGCCGAAGGGGGGUAACUUACUAUAAAGCAGAGGUCCCAUUACAGCGUAGACUUGCAAGACGCGUGUCCCUGCGGACUUUCCAAGGAGGCGAUGCCCUAACAACCCCACCCACCCACACUGUUUGGCCUUAUAUCCGUUCAUUUAAUCAGCCUCUCCACCUAAUUCUUAUGACGUUGAGCUUUGUUAUCUAAACCACCAAGCCUUCAUUGUUAUAAAUUUGGUACGUCAGCUGUCAUUGUUCCUCGGUUCCUGUUUUGGCUCCACAAGAACUCGAACCACUAGAUUCUGAGAUAUCUUGCUCUCACAGGCCUCAGGCAGCAUGACGGAGAGCUCUUCUAACCAAAUGUCGGUGUAACGACUCAUCUUAUUUCUAAACAUGGAUAUGCAUUAUUCACUAAGAUGUGCCGACAAUUAUUUCCUAUGAUGGAAAUAAUUGCAUUAGGUUUCCCACCUCACUACUAACAGUCUUGUCAAAUUCAAAUGUUUAGUUUCAUCUCUAGGUCUCAAUGAGGUUUUCCGUUGGUACUCUCAAUAAAAAAAAAAAGAGGAGGUUUCUGUUAAUGUUGAUGCAACCAUGAGAUUAGGCUAUAUGGGCCCCCAUCCGAGAACACCAAUUGGCUUCUAUAUGGCCGGGCAUCGAAAGGGCCCAUAGAUUUAAACGAAGGCAUUGAUGGACACCCGUCGCUUGCGUGGGGGGGCGGAAGAAAGGGAGAGAACAGAAGGGACAGCGAAGGCCGCAUCGCUUUGGUAUUUACUUUAAUCCGACAAGGAGGGCAAGCUUGCGUUUCUGGUGGUUCCUUUAUCCCUUUCCCAGUUAAUAUUUUGAUUGGAACCUUCUUCAUCCCCACACAAUAUCUUUUCCUUUUAUUUUGAGGCCCAGUCUUGCAAAUAAAUCUGGAAGAUGAGUACAUCAUGCAAUGACUAGGAAUUUGAUAUUGUGCGAGAGAUGAGCUUUUUUAACGGAGAUGAGGUUACAUGAUAAACUUGGCCCAUGACGUGUAUUAUUUUUUUCCGGUACUGAUGCAUUAUAUAUGGUAUUAUUACAAGAGUUAUAAACAGAUGGACUUGAAAAGUUACAUGAUAGGCAUGCUAUCAAUAUUAUAAUCAUCAUUAAGUUAAUCUGUUAAUAUAGUUCAUGCGGGAAGAAUUAAAAUGUGUUUGACUUGCAGCCGGAAUCAGAAUUGGAAUCGAAAUCAAAAUAGAUUGGAUCAGAAUGGCCAUACCUCCGAUGCAUUUGGUUUGUGACAGAGAAUCUAAAUUGAAAUGGAAUAUGAGUACUUUCAAAAAGUAAGAAUUGGAUUUUGAGUAAUUGGGAUAUUCCUAUUUCUUCUUAAAAUAGAAGGAAAAUAAGAAUCACCCAUUCUCAUUUCCAGUCCAACUCCCCUAAUUAAAUAUGUCCUAGAUCAAUAUAGGAUUAAAAAAACAAGGAAAGAAAAGGAGAUAAGAAACAAAUAUAUUAAAAAAUAAAAAAGCUGCAAUUUAUGCCACACCAAUCACAACCUGCUCAUCUUCUCUAUUGCUAUAACACGGAAGGUUCCUUCACUCACCUUUAAACCAUUUAUCCAUAAAUAUUGCUAUAGAUGUGCAAUUUUCGGUAAAUACAACUAUUGUGAAAAUAAAGGAUCUCGAACUUAGUCCCCCAUUGACUAGAUAACGGAGAUGUCUAUUCCUUAAAUGGAUGGGGGCAACCCUUUUCUCUUCAGAGGCGCCUUUUGCAGAGCAAAACCAUGCAAGGGAAAGAGACUAUGAAAUCUCCCUCAAAACGGACAAUACCUCUGAGAAAAAGCAGUCGCUUCCGCUGUCUGAGCCUGGUGGAGACUGAGCUCUAAGGUCUGGGGAAUACCCUCGGCCUCAUCAAUGGUGCUUUCGUUAAGAUUCCUUGACCCCAGCACAGACCCUCUUCCGCUGGAGGGGCUAUGUUGUAGGAAUAAAAGGUUUCAGACUUAGUCCCACAUCGACUAGAUAGCAGAGAGAUCUGUUUCUUAAAUGAAGGGGGCAACCUUUUUCUCUUCAGAGGCACCUUUUGCGGGGCAAAACCGUACGAGGAGAAGAGACUAUGAAACCCCCCCUCUAUUUAAGCUUUGGGGUCCGAGGGAUACUCUCGGCCUCAUCAACAACCAUUUGUAUUCACUCUAAUAAAUGACAAAACAAGUGUAUUUAUUCCUUAGAAGAAGUAAAUAAACUGAUGGCAAAUAUUGUAUUUUACCAAAUUUGUUCCAAACAGCAGUCACCUGGUAAAAGUCCCUUCCUCCGGGUGCUCACAAGCUCGGCGCUACAUAACGAUUAGUGCAGAAGGGGAAAUUUGAUAUAUGAGUAAUGUGGGCUCCACAAUUAGAAAGAGAUUACGUGUCAGCUGACCAAUGCAUGAGCACUGUGUUCUUGCUCACUGCAUCAAGCUGCCAAUCUAGCUGAUCUAUUAUAUCCACACGUCUCAAUGAUGGCAGGCCAGAUAUCAUUAUCAAUAUAGAGGGAAUAUGCCAAUUUUCGUUAUCCACUGGACCUCAAAUAUCUCAUAGCUUCGAUUAAGAAGAGAAUCUAUAUAUGUAUCAGAAGACUAAUCCUUAAUUGUAACCAUUUGUUUCGUGGGGCUGAAAUGCAAAAUUCUAAUGAUUUAAUAUAUUAUAACUUGGUGUAUGCAUUGCUUGUGGUUUGUUCAAUUACAAGCAUUUGAUUGAUGAUUAUGAUCACAUCAAUCAAAUUAAAUUGCAGUACUUUUACCAAUGCACUCUCUAUUAUAGUUUAUGUUUACAUAAUUAUUAUUUGAGUGCAUGUAGAGCAUACUUAGUAAAAAAAGUCAUCAACAUAUUUUUAUAAUGCAAAGGUUUAGAGUCCGGAACUAUAUGGCAAACUACAAACAUUCCCUUUGAAUUUAUUUACUUUAUUAUUAUUAACUGAUGUUCGAGUAUCAACCUCCUCUUUUGGUGACAAAUCCUUUGUAUUUAUUUUAAUACCAUGACUAUGUCCCUUGAUACUCCCUCCUCUGGGUCACCCUUCAGGUUAAAAGUUAUGAAUUGGAAACCAAUAGCUAUGACACAUUCUUGAGUUAUGCAAACAAAGUCUGUUAACAAAAGUAAUGAGAACAAGCCCUAAUUUCUCAAUCUAUGCUACCAAAUAUGAUGUACAAACAUUAAUUAUUACUAUGAGUAUAGACAAAUUAUGUCAUAUUCUUUAAAAUGUUCACUACAAGUAUCUAGUUGUCAAAGAGACAUAGACAGUGAUAGAGCAAACAAAAGCAGGAAGAAAGCAUAUCACAUAAUAUUUUUCCCCCGAAAAACAAGAUGAGGAGACACUCCACAACUACUGAAAAGAUGGUUUAUAGUAAUUUCCUAAAGCUUUAGAACUGAGCAAUCAUUUAGAAACUCACAUUCAAAAAACGUCACUCAAGAGAUGUCUCUCUACAUGCAUCACCAUCAUUAACAGCUCAUAUGGGGCUGGGGUUGACUAGGAGAGGAUAUCAUUCUCACCAUCACUCUCAGCAUUAUUUACAGAAAUCUUCAUGUUUAACAGAGAUUAGUGUUGUCAAAUUGUCACCAAACAUGAUUACCAAAAAGUAAAAAACAAAGCAACGGGAAUAAAGAGGCAGCUCCCUUUUCUAAAUAAAAGUGUGGAAUGAUCAUCCAUUCCUCCGUGGACUCCUGGGCUCAAAUGUCUCUCGCGGGCCGACGCCCAAUCCUUUUUGUCUCGUUGAGGAGAAGGGAACUCGAGUUAAUGGAUGCUUCGAAGUUGGAAGUCUGAGCUUGGCAGACAGGUGGAGUUGGUCAUACUCGUAACUUAUGACUCAGAGGAGAAUGUGAUCUGAUAAAAACGCUUGAAUUUUUAGCUGAUGCAUCUUCGUUGCUCUCUCCUUUAAAGAGACAAUUCAACCAGAAGAGUGAAAAAUAAAGGAACAUCUAUAAGGAUAUGAUGGAAACUUGGAAUCCAUCCUUUAGCAUAAAGGAGAGUUUGCAUCAUGGCAGGAGGUAUGACAUGAUAAUUAUUUUACUUUACGAUGUGCCCGUUGACAUGCUAUGACGAUAGCAAUGAUAUUCUGGCAACUGAUAGUGGAUGCCAUUAAACUAUUCUAUGAGAAUAUUCAUAACUUAAUAUGAUUGCGCUGUUCAAUAAGAUCCAUCAUUAAUGUUAUAAUCUAGGAAAAUUUCAAGAGAUUGAUAGAGAGGAAGGUAUCUAUUCCCUCCAAGGGCAUAUUAAUAACCAGGCAUCUAAAUCAAAGAUGCACACAAUUAAUUAUGAUCUAUACCACUUUAAACAUCUAGCAAUAAAAAAUCACUUGAUUAUGAUCUAACGUAUCAUUAAGCCGUGUUCUCUCUCUCUCUCUCUCAAAACAAAACAAGGAAACAAAAAAAGAAAGAGAACAAACAAAUGUUUCUUUCAUUCCAGUUGUAAAAUGAGACACAUGCCUAACACACGUCCUGAAGCAAAGAGAUCCGGGCACUUCUCUUCUCGAUUUCCUUGGAAUCCAUGUCACUGCAUCACUCAUAGUUAUCUAAAUUUGUACUCCUUGUUCUAUAUCCACUCUUAUAGUUGUUUAAAUGCACCAUGCUACCGCCCUUUUUGCUCUUUGCGUCUCCAACAGAUGAGCUUACAUUGAUCUUAUCCCCGAAGUAUAGCACAGGUCAGUUGAUGCUAACCGUUUACUAAAUUUGUGCGCUUGAAAUUAAGCAAUGACCCUUAUAGUUCUUAUUAUCAAAUAAUAAGAGUAGAAUAAUCAAUGAUAUACUAACAUAAGAUCAAUCAGGAAACAGAGCAAGAUGAGAGAACAGAGAUCUAUCAGCCAGAUUGCAGACGUCUCGUGCAUCAAAAGCCAUGGGUCUCACCUUUCUCAAAAUUGUUAGGCCCCUCUUAGUGCACUCCAACCAAACCAUAUCCUUUAAAUGCUAAUGCAGUUUGCCCACAAUUAAGCCUGAAUUUUUUUUUCGCUAACGGGUCCCAAAGACAUGGGUCCUCCAUUCAGCAAUUUGGCUAGGAGGACGAAUAUAGGUAGCAGCCAUCAGACUGCAGAAACCAGAACUGCAUCUGGCCAACGUGUGCGGCUUGUAAUACAAGAAAUGAGGCACCGUGCAUGCAAAGAACAGGAUUCACAGAAAUUCGAAGCUACCAUCCUGAUAAGUUCGGUAGUCAGAUGGUGACCUCCACGGCAGAAGUCAUUAUAAUACUCAACGAACGUUCUCAAAAGUAACUUAAAAUUCCAACAAGAUGACAUACCCGGUGGAUGGUGGAUGGACCAAAACUGCAGCAUGAAUGAUACCUUAUGGAAGAAAAGGAACGAGCCGGUCUUCAUUAAAGAGAUCAGGUAUCAUAGCUUCUGGAUUGCCAAACUCUUCCAUUAACUUUCCUCUUCUUCUUUUUUUAUUAUUUUCAUGCCAUAAACAUGCCACUAAAGAUCAAUAAUCCUUUGUGGAUGAGAACGAUUCCGAAGCUGAAACUAAAAAUGGCGGCACUCAGUACAUACGGACGGCCCACAAUAAGGACUGUUAUUCGCCCAAUGCCGUAGCAGAUCAGUAACACAACAUGAGGCCCCAAGAAGAUAGGAAUUUGCCAACCAUGGAGGAGUCAACUUCAUCUAAUCUGAGAGAAUAGACUCUUUAAGCGUCUGUCACGUAUGUAGAGAGCUCAAAUUUAGGUUGUCUUCAAGACCUGACCUGAGUCAGCUAAUUCCAGUCAUAAAUAUCUUAUCCGAAUUCAUGUGAACUGAUUGGCAUGCUACAUUUUGACGGUUUUCUCCUUAUCUGGAGAUAAACAUCAAGAGAGAAGAACCAUAAAUAUUCCAGACAGUUGAAGACAUAUAUGUUCCAUAAGAUUAAAAAAGAAAAAUGUUUUUUUCUCAAUAAACCCUGCAAGCAAUUAAAAAGAUAAUGCGAUCAUAGAGUUCAAAGACAUCUGAAGAAGUCAGCUUACUUUAGUGAAAACACCGCUGGCAAGUACAGCGGCUUUUUAAGCAUAAAAAGUUGAGUUCAUGAUAAAGAAAAUACAGUUGGUAAUCACAAAGGUCGAAUUUAUAAGCUUAGACAGCAGAUGGAAAAAUUUUCCAAAAAGCAUGGCAUGAUAGCGUGUCUAUACGAUGAAGCUUAGAUAGCAGAAAUAAACAUUCUGGUAUCAUGACAUCGCAAUACACUUAACCAUUCUGCAUGUAUGCACAUCAAAAGCAAUGGGUAUGAGACACACUUCAUUCUCUAGAAGCUUCAUUGGAGAUUCUCUAUGUCAACAAUUCACUAGGAACUAGUGUCAACAAGCUAAGGACCCAAUGAUUAGGUUUUGACAGGAUACAUUUUUUUUUCUUUUCCAGUGCAUGAGUCCGUACAAAAUAUCGACAUCCACAUCAUAAUGACAGAUGUGCAGCUUCAAUACUAACAAUCCGUCUACAUGCCUGUCUGAGGUCCAACUUGCCUGCUCGGUCUAUCCACAACUCGUGAUGGACCAGUUAUUGCAGGGUUUCUAUUUCAAUUGAUAAGAUUUUUUUUCCCAGAUAUUUUCGAGAUAAAAGUGAUACACAUGGGUGCCGGUUAGAAAUUCAUCAAUCUGCAUCAAGUUCAUAAAGAUCUUGCUCAUCCUAGGUUCUGCUUUUAACAAAAAAUUGUACAAUCUCAAGGACAAUGAAAAUUACAGAUGUUUGAUCAUUCAUUGAUUUUAAAACCAAAAUUAACAAGAAAUGCAAUGAUAUUGAUUGUGCUCAUUCCAAGAACAUCUUCCUAGUAGAUGCAUAAGAAACCAAUUGUAAAACCCAUGCCUUUUAAGGCCUGAUAUUGGAUUGGGCCUGCGUGGAUCAGCCCAAAAUCCACCCAGCCCAAAAUCAGCCCCAAAAUUGAAACCUAGAAAUUGAAAAAAAUUGGAAUUUCUUGACUCAGCCCGAGCAUGUUCUAGGUGGUGAGGGAUUGGAAUGCACGUGCAUGGAGGAAUGGACUCCAACUACUUCCCCGACUCGCUAAGGAGUCUGACUGCCUGAGGGAGUUCGAUUCUUAUGAAAUUUCGACGUCAAAAGAUCAUCCAGAGCCUCGAUAUCUCUUCUAUUUAAAAUAAGGUUCGUCGUAUCGGUAUCGGAUUCCGUACCGUUGCCACACUAGCAUAGCGUCGGUACGGUACGUAGUUUUUUUGGCGUACCAAGGGUUGGUAUGCUAUCUACACCGAUAUCGGUACCGAAUCGGGUACGGUACAGUACGCCCGAUACCGUUCGGUAUGGUAUGGCAUGCCAUGAUUUGAAACCAACUUCAGACCCCUCUAAUCUCCACCUCUGACACCAGGCCUCCAAGUCGGAGAAUCGCCGAAGUUUUCGUCCUGAUCGUUGUUCGCCACAACCACUGUUUUGCCGAAAAUAGUCUUCAAACAUCGCUACGAUCAAGGUGAUUAGCCUCUAACCUUCUAAUUAAUCAUUCUCUACACCCUUUCAAGCCUUUAGAUUAUGAAUUCCGGUUGGAUAGUCAUCGAAUUUAGUCAGGAUAAGGAUGUUCUGUUUGUUUGUGAUUUCCCUUAUUUUGGGGUCUUAUCGGAAAUUUCUGAGUAAAUAUGGCUCCAACUGCUGGCUCACGGCCACACCGACCUUUGGACUAGUGGUUGUCUCAAGCCAAUCCCCGAUUAUAGUCAGCAUAGAAGUUGCCUUUCCUUUGGAUGUUCCAUGGGUUGAUGCCUUGAUUUUAUUUUCCUUUUCUUGCAUCGCCAGCCACCGUUCCCCUGCCAUGCCUCGCCACCAUUCUGCAGUUGUGUCUGGCCGCCGACCUUCCAGCUAUGUAGCCCCACCCCACCAGUCCUCCAUCGCCUGCGUUUCCUCCCUAUGCCCUUUCCUAGAAGGAGGCCAACACCCUUCCCUAGUUUUGCCAAAAAGAAGAAGAAUAAAAAAAAACAAAAAGAAAGAAAAAGCCAAUUUCUCUCUCUCUCUCUCGCCUCUUCUUCUCUCUCUCUCUCUCUCUUCAUUAUUGAUGAAGGGUGAACCCUAGAGGGUCCCACCCCUGUAACCUAUGAUGACCUUGGUAAAGGGGUCUUAACACCCUUAGCCAUUGGGUAGCAUGCCAACCCAACCCAGUCCAUGUCAAGCACCGCUUGAUUCCACCAACAAUACUUCUUAUAUUGUUAUAUAAACCCUAUCGAGAUUCUUGUUCUGUGUUUAGACCGGUUAGAUUAGCUAAAUCAGACCGAUCGAGAUGUCAGACACUAUCGCUUGGUCAAUUUUGUUUCACCCUCUUAGUUUCUCUCUCUUCCUCUCCAUCAUUCUCUCUCUACUUGAUCUAUAAACCUAGUGCAAGGUCCCAAGCCCUGUUGCUUUUGGAUCUGAUUUGACCCUAGUAGAGGGUUCUUGAAAUGCUCUGUUGGUUUAGCAGCAUGUCAGCAAUACCCUGAUCCUUGAUAAACACUGCUGGACUCUAUUGUCAUUAGUUUUUAAAAAAUUUAUCUAUGCCCUAUCCUGAUUCUUGAUCCGUAAUUUGCUCGAUUGGAUUAAAACGAUUGGACCAAUCUAGGCCAUAGGGCACCACUGCUUGGAGUAAAGUUAUCUAGACAAGAUGUUCAACAAUGGGAUACUUUGAUAUGGUGUAUAAAUUAAGAAUUUUGAAAAAAAUUUGCUGGAAUUAUGUGGACUUGUCCGAGUGGAUGUGAUGUAAGUAACCUAAUGCUUCAAAGUUUGCUUUCUAUAUGACCUUCGAAAACAUAUAAUUAGUUUAUUAAAUUUGGUUAUGAUUCCUAUUUUAUGUUUGAUUAAACAGGUCAAGUAUGCUAUUAUUACACCCAUAAUUAUUUUAAAAUAUGUUAUAUAUUUUGAUAUUCUUGUGAAUGAAUUUUGAAAAUUUGACCAUGUAGUUUCUAAAAUUGUUUAUAUAUAUAUAUAUAUAUAUAUUCUCAACAUGGCUAUGAUCUGACCCUCCAAAUGGAGAUUAUACAUUGGUUCUAUCGACUUAUAAUUUGAGAAACUACUUUCGGCACCGAGCCACUGGUGAUUAGAAUAGUGGUAUUUGUUAUAUGACACUUGGUGCACCCUAUAUCUGUUAUCUAACCCAUGCCACUAGGUUACGUGGCCAUAGAAUAGUAGAUGCAUAAGCAACCAAUAAUCUAACUAGCAGUCUUGAAAUGUUCAAAAUGUAAUAACCAAAUUUGCCGAUAGGAUUUCUUAUCAUGAAUAAGAACUAAGAAUAGUUUUUCAAUGUCUAUUAUGAAUGGAAAUAGCAAAUUAUUUUUCUUAGCAAUUCUCUUAUAUGUCUACUCCUAAAUUUCCUCCAAGUUUAACCUUCUAGUUAUGGUCAUUUGUAACUUCAAAAAUUUUUAAUUAUAAUGAACUGGAACAUGGAUGGUGUUAUACUUCAAUGUAUCAAGUCGUAGACAACUUGUUACAACAUGCCAUCUGAGAACCAAAUCCAAUCGGAAAAUAGUGGAUUUAGAAUUAUUGAUCAAAAUCUAAACAAAUUAACCAGUUAAUCAGGUAAUAAAGUUAAGCUCCUAAGGUACUCAAAACAAAGGCAACUCCAAUAGUAAAUAUAGCUACUCUUUUUCAGGUAAACAAGCAUAAAAUAGCUUCCUGCAAAACUAACAUACUUAAGCACUAACCUAUGAUAAAAAAAAAUUUGCCAGUCCAGAAAUCUUGCCCUAAAAAGCAAGAACUUUCUUGAGGUCUUCCAUUUCACUACCCAUAAAAUUCCUGCCAAUAAAUGAAAGUGUCAUGGCUGGAAUGACUCAAAAGCAGGAAGUCCUACAAUGCAUGUGACCAUUUGAUGGGGCACUUCUCUACAUACCCUCCAUAAUAGGUGUGUAAACAAGACAAUACGAGCAGUUGAUGCCUUUGAAAUGAUUCAGGUGAAGAAUUCAAAAGAUCCCAAUUGGAAAUCCAUAUCUCUUUUUGAAAUUAAGCUCCUUUAAACCAAUUUUAUGGGCAGACAAACUUACAACUUUUUAGAAGGUGCUGGUUUACCAAACUGGUAAAGUCCUUGAUAGUUUAACCAAGUGACCUGGGAUUGAAUUCCCCUUUCACCAGGGUUUCGGGGGUAGAGGUAUUUGAGGGCUACCCCCCGUUGUAGAUUGCCUAUGGGCCCUUCAAUCUGAAAAAAAAACUCUUAAUAAAUAAGCCUUGGAGUAGAAACUUCGCAUCUAGAUCUCAUGGUAAAAUCAAAUACCAGGAUACCUGUCAACAAAAAUAAAACAAAAUUCUGUGGUUAUCUCUCUAGUUCAAGUUUAUCAUCUUGAAGUCUAGAAUUAUUUUCUUCAUUUUGAGACAUUCAUACUACUGAUAUGAAAUUUCUGCCCACAAUCUCUGAUCUUUACAUGUUGACAUUUUUCAUGAUGUAAGUUCUUUCCAUUUGGCAGCAUACUUCCCAUAUUUAACCUUCCUCCUGACCAUAAUGCUUCAAAACUGUUGACUGGCCUUCCAACAGUUACUUUAACGACCCUUAUAGUAACAAAAAAGGGCUUAAUCUCACAUGCAGAAGCCAACCAUGAUUAUGGAAGUGCCGAGGCUAGAAAGUUAGCCACAGCAACAAAUGAGUAUCUUCAGGAUUCAACCACAAAAUAGUCAUGGAGCUACCUAUGCUGAUUGGCUUGCCGCCAAUGAAAAUGUGCAACCAAAGUUUUUCCUUGAGAGGACAGUCAUCCCAAAUAAACUUGGAAAAACUUUUGCAGUUGGACAGAACAAUAAUGGUGUUAUGAAAGAAAACCAGCAAAUAAUAAUGAUCAGUCAUAUAAAAAACAAAUACUGCAAAUUGGGACAUGAGAUAGUUUGUCAAGAGAGAUACUAGUGACGGUUCUGAAGCAUCCAUCAUCAGUAGCAACAAUGCUAUUGCUUGCAUAUGAUAUAAAAACAUAACCAUCCCUAUUUGUAAACCUAUGGAGGUAAAAUAACUCAUUACAAAACUCUUUUAUGUUUUAUACAUUUAUGAUAUUGUUUGAUAUUUGGAUUUCAUUUUUGUUUCGUACAUGUCUUUCACAAAGCUUCCGUCAAAUGUCAGAAAUAACAUCACUGAUUUACUUGUUCAAGGAAGUUGACAUUAUUUUGCCCCUAUUUUUUUGAUAAUGUGAGUUGUUUUACUGAUGAAAUAGAUUUUAUGGUUCUUUUCUCAUUUUUCUUGUUGUUGUCGACAAAAAGAUUGAAAGAAGAGGAAUAAAAUUGUUAUGUUUAUCUUAGGGAAUAUUGUUUUUUGAUUCCAUCAAUCAUUUUUCAUACCAAGAACGCCCUCCGGCUUAUCUUAAAAAAUAUGUCAAUUACCUCACUCACUCUUUCUCUGCAAUAAGUAUCACAUGCCUGCACCCUCUCGCUUUUGUCCAAUAAGAUUAGACUCCCAAACGACUGGACCCAUCCACUUUCUCUUUGAUUCAACUUCCAAAUGGUUUGGACGCUCUCUCUCUAAUUCAAUUUAAGACAUACUUGCCGCCCUAUCUCUUCCCACAAUGUGAAUUGCACGUGCCUAGUAGCUAGUUUUCACCAAUAUUGGAGAUAUUUGUUUAGUGAAAGAAUCAAGAACAACCAUUUUAUGCUUCUUCUGUUGAUUUUCUAUCUAAAGGCAUCAAGUAAAACGAGAAAAGCAAAGAGAAUUGUUCCACUAGUAGAACUAGCAUUAUCAGAAAAUCAAGGGGCAGAAAAUGAGAAUUUCCUCAACCAAGUUAAUCAAUGAAAUUAUCUUUGUAAUAAGCUACAAAUAUUGACAUAUGAAAGAUUCCCAUAAAAGAUGUAAACAUGAAAAAAUAAUAUCUACAUAUCAAGCAAUAAUGAAACAUAAAAUAGAAAUGAGUUUCGUGAUGAGUCAUUUUAACCAGCUUUGGUUUACGGACAAAGAUGAUUAUAUUCUUAUAUCUGAUGCAUGCAAUGACAUUACCAUUAUUACAAUGAGUGCUUCAAAACUGUAACGUAUAUAGGGUUGCAAAAAAGCCAAAUUUAAAUAUCCCUUAAAAAAGAAAAAGGAGAAGAACGAUUCUGACAAGGUCAGGUAGAAUUAUCAUGACAGAGGAACAUGCAUCACUUGUUUAGAAAAUCAGAAGAUGAACUCAAGCAAAUACAACAAAAUCUUAGGAAUAUUCUAGAAAUGUACCUCUGAAAUAUCGUGGAAUGGACGGGAUGCCAAACCCUGAAUAUCAUCAUCAUGUACAGCUAUGGCACAGAAGAUGAUGACCCAUGCAUGUCAUUUGGAAUGCCUAUGUCGAUAGCCAAGUGGAAACUGCUAGUGAUAAGAUCAUGGUUCCAAAGCCAUAUUUCACUAGAGUGUCAGCAUUCUCAUCUUCCAGUCUUUCUUGUAAAUGUUUCAACCAUGUAUGGAAACUACAGUUCCCCUCCUGCACAUACAUGUCAAACCAUUAGCUUCUUUAGGAUUCUCUCAUACGAUAAAACAUUUAGAGAUUCACCUUCUUGUCCUGAUCAUAUGUUUUGUACCGGUCAGCAUCACUUUCUAACAUUAUUCGGUCAGCCUUGUUAUCUUCCAAGACGUACGGUGCUUCAAUUUUAGGUUCAGCUGAGAUGCCAGUGUAUGCUGAGUCUGUGUGAAUUGUUUUCAUGACUGACCCAAAUAAAUUUGUUACAGGCACCUGUUCAUAGUCGUAGCAGCAUCCAAUAAAACAUUACCCUGAUGAACUAAAAUAUAGGUAGUGAAACCCCAAAUGAUACCUCACUCAGGGAUCAUUGAUAAAGAUCCAUAUGGUAAUAUGCAGUUGACAUCAGCACACUUGGAUCGUAUGAAUUAAAAAGACUGCAGAUAUUAAGAUGUUCUUUGAUCAGUGCAGAAAUGUGAAAUUUGAUAAAAGAUGAUGUUGAGUUCAAAUAAGUAAAAGAAUUUUUCAGUGGGGCUCAUUAGCAAGAUUAAGCAAAAAAUACUAUGUGAUAGGUUAGGUGCUACAUUUCUUGAUUGAGAAAUGUAAAGGAAAGAAAGAGUGGAAGAGAGCAAAUUCCACUUUGAUGAAAUUUUAAUAGAGAUAAACAUACACAGAUUUCAACAUGUUGAUUGAGAAAUUUCGAAUCUCUGUAAAAGAAUGGCCAUAUAUUUGUACUAACCAAAAAAUAUUCAGGAGCAAAAAAAAGGGCAAAACAUAAGGUCCUGCCUCGCUGUCCUUCCAAUUAUACAGUUGCUAAAAUGUUGCUGAACAUCAAAUACCAAUUUACGUGUUAGUGAAUUCAUGCAUGAAAUUAAAACAUGAUAGGACUUAAGAUUACAAGCCAACUGUUUAGCAGUUAUUGAGGUAAUUAUCACUUAGCGGAUGGUGCAAGUAAACCCUCAUAUUGUGUCCACGAGAUCAAGGUUAGCCAUCUCAUCCUCAAUUGUCCAAUUCAGGUGUACCGACCUGUAUCGGGUUGGAACCAGGACAAGACAGGCAUUCGGUUCAAUUUAGGCCCCUAACCGGCCUAAACCGACACAAGCAUCAAGGCGGUCGGUCACUUGUCCCGCCGAAGUAAUUAAGGGGGAGGUAGAGAAGGCCUUACGUGCCUUCUCUAUCUCUUCCUCUCUUUUUUUCUUUUAAUUUCGAGAAGACAGAAAAAAAUACCCAUUCUCACUGGAUUCAAGCCAACAUUGGCGUACAAUUCUACUCUCCUUCCUUGUUCCUCUCCUCAGCCCUCUUUUUUCAUUUUGAGAUCAGAUGAAAUGUGUUUUAAAAUAAUUUCUUGAUAUGUUGUAGAUCUAAGGAUAAUCUACUCAAUGCUGAAAAUCAUAAUUUUUCAUUAAUAGUACAAGUUAUUAGAUCAAAAAUAUAUUUAGAUUAAAAUAUAGUACUAAAUAAAACAAUAAAAUUGUAAAAUUGGUAGCAUGUUUCGGGAUACACAUGCUACUUGUUACCUCAAUUUGGUAGCAAUAAUUAUUUAAAUUUAGACUACACAAACCUAAGCCCAAAUUUUAAAAAAUAAAAAAAUGGUGAUUAGUUCAUACACAUGGGCUGAAAAAAUAUAUCUAGCACCCCUAGUAAGGUGCUACACUAAUCCGAACUAAGUUAACAUUCUAGAUAUUUUAUAAUUAAAUAUUAAUCCAACUAAUUCAAUGAUUUUUUGCAUUACAAUAUAAAUUCACUAAUUUUUAAAUAAUAAAUAAUUAAGAAUUUAUGUGAAAAUAUGUGACAUGUUUGUCAAACUUGUAGAAAUAGAUCUAGGAAGAAAAAAAAGGAGCCUAGGUGUGACAUAGGUUGGGCUCAUAUUGUGAUACUUUCGGGCCAACACCACAGGAGAUGCAAGUGGUGCGAUGUGGACUUUAGGAACGAAAAGUGAUCAUGUUGAAGCAACAUAUGACCGGUGGUUACCUUAACAUGUUAGCUUGUAGGAAAUGCCCGCAUGAGGUCUGCCGAUUGAUGAAAAAGAACUUUGCCAAUUAUAAAACAAGCAAGCAAAGAAAUGCAGAGAAAAAGGCGGAGAUUGAACAUCGGGCAAUUAAGCCACCUUCAUACCACUUGAGGGAUCUGGAGGACUAUGAGGUAUCGGAUCCGGAUGACAUGGAAGAGACGUAAAUUCAAGCGGUUAUACAAGAGAGCUUGAAUGCAUAGAGGCAGAGCUUGUAGGAAAUGCCCGCAUGAGGUCCGUUGCUUUGCUGAUUUUAAGACGAACAAGCAAAAAAGUAUUGAGAAAAGGCAAAGAUGGAACAAUGGGCAACCAAGCCACCCCACACGAGGGAUCCGGAGAACUAUCUCUCACGGUAUGAGGCUGGUGCUAGUUCCUGAUCAGCUAGGGCAGAUCCAUCUGCAAGAGAAACUCAUCAUUAAGAGAGGUCAAUAGAGGCAGCAGCCUAAUUGACUUUAUGUUUCGGACCUUUGACAAUAAGAAGUCUCGAGACAUACUAGCAGGCAAGGAAUGCCGUACCGGCCCGUACCGGUACGGGCCGGUAUGUACCGGUCGGUACGGGCCGGUAUGUACCGGUCGGUACGGGCCUUGACCGGUACCGGUAUGUACCGGUAUGUUCGGUCCUUGACCGGUACCGAAAAUAGAUGAAAAACCGGUAUUUUCCGAUUUUCUUCUGUGAACCGGCCGGUACGGAGCCCGUACCGGCCGGUACCGGCCUCGUACCGGUGCGAACCGGCGGUUCGCACCGGUACGGUGUUUUUUUGGGGGGGGAACCACAGCGCCACGCGCUGUGGUUUUUUAAACCAUCGCAUGGCGCGUGGUUUUAAAAACCACGCGCCCGCGCAUGGUUUUAAGGAAUCUUUCAAAUAAAAAAAAACCAGGUUUUUUUUUUGGGAACCACAGCGCCACGCGCUGUGGUUUUUAAACCACCGCGUGGCGCGUGGUUUUAAGGAAGAAGUGGCCCACGGGCCACUUCUUUCAAAUAAAAAAAAAGACAAGAAGUGGCCNNNNNNNNNNNNNNNNNNNNNNNNNNNNNNNNNNNNNNNNNNNNNNNNNNNNNNNNNNNNNNNNNNNNNNNNNNNNNNNNNNNNNNNNNNNNNNNNNNGAUUUGAGAGAUAGCCCACAAAUUGAGGAGGAGGUCCUGCCCAAAAAAUCCAGCGGAGACUAUUUAAGGUGCGGUUUUUUUGUCCUAUGUUAUUUCAUUAAUUUUGUUAAUAAUUUAUUUAAAAAAAUAAUUUAUAAAUUACUUAAAUAAUAAGAUAAUGAAAAAAUUUACUUUAUUAGCUUAAUUUUUUGAUAAGUUGUCCUUUUAUGAUAGAAAUGGAAGUGGCCGAGAGGCCACUUCUUUUCUGAUGACAGCACCCUCGCUCGUUCGGUUAUAAAAACCGAACGAGAGGCGUUGUUAACUAAAAUCAGGAAUGAGCCUCUGAAGAGUAAUCAGAGACGGAAAGCCAUCAAGAAAAACGAACCCUGCAAAGCGUGAUAUUGGCUGGUCUUAUGGGCGAAGACUUGGAAGUGAGGGGCAAAGACACCAGUUUCAAUGCAAAUUUUGCGACAAGGUUUUCAAGGGAGGAGGGGUAACCAGGUUGAAGCAACACUUAGCCGGAAAUUCCGGUGAGGUUGCUACGUGCCCAAAUUGUCCUAGCGAGAUUCGUGUGCUAAUGAGGCAGAAUCUCGCUGAGGCUAAAAAAGCGAAGGAGAUGGCUUCCAAGAAGAGGGCGGAGGUCGAUCGCCAAGCGGCAGAGCCACCUUCUUAUCACUCUAGGGAGCCAGAGGAGGUCGAAAAUCUAGAUGAGGAGGAGGCAGAUAUUCAGGCGGCAAUGCAUGCAAGCCUGGAUGAUCAGUGGCAGCAGGAGGAGGUGGCCAGGCAUAGGGCUCGAUUUGGGCCCUCUGCAUACGAGUCGGGCGGCGGUUCUAGGAGCACUAGACAAGAUCCAGAGUUCUUGAGGACAACUUCAGUCAGGGAGGGCGUCGGCAAAGAACGUGGCCGGAUUGCAUCUAUGCUGGGUAGUUUCGGUAGUCGAAAGAAGUCAUUUAGAGGAAUUCCACAAAGAGCGACAAUUCAUGAUGUAGAUCCGCAUGCUCUCCCCAGUAGAGAUUCAAGGCAGCAGAGGGUAGACACAAUGUGGAUGAAGGAUAAGAAGAAAACUAUGUGGCGAGCUAUUGGAUCCUGGUUUCACUUCAGCCACAUCCCAGCAAAUGUGGCAGACAAUACAUACUAUAGGUCUGCCAUUGCCGCCAUACAAGCUGCCGGUCCCGGUGUAGCUCCUCCAGGCCUGAAGGACAUAUACGGUGAGCUUCUUGACAACAAUAAGGAGGAGCUGGAGAAUUGGAUUGACUCCUACAAGAGCAAGUGGCCCAUAUAUGGACUAACCAUCAUGUGCGAUGGUUGGACCGGUCCGACCAGGCGGAGCAUCAUCAACUUUCUGACAUACUGUGAUGCUAAGACCUUCCACAAGUCGAUUGAUGCUUCGGCUUAUGUGCACAACACCUCGUACAUGCUGAAACUUAUGGAGGAUGUGAUUGAUCUGGUAGGAGAGGAGAAUGUCGUACAGGUCGUCACUGAUAAUGGACCGCAAUAUAAGGCUGCCGGGCAGGUCUUGAUGGAGCGGCGGCCACAUAUUUUCUGGACCCCAUGUGCUGCACAUUGUAUCGAUCUUAUGUUGAUGGACGUUGGAAAGAUCCGUAGGGUGCAACAAACGGUGGAGACAGCCCAACGCAUUACCAGAUAUAUUUAUAACCAUAACUGGAUCCUUUCAUUGAUGAGAAAGUAUGCAGGGGGAGAGAUUCUGAGACCAGGAGUCACACGAUUUGCUACCAACUUCAUUGCACUUUAUAGCAUACUCGAGAAGAGAGGAGCCCUACGUCAGAUGUUUGCCAGUUCCGAGUGGUAUGAUAGUAGAUAUUCUUAUGCCGGUNNNNNNNNNNNNNNNNNNNNNNNNNNNNNNNNNNNNNNNNNNNNNNNNNNNNNNNNNNNNNNNNNNNNNNNNNNNNNNNNNNNNNNNNNNNNNNNNNNNNNNNNNNNNNNNNNNNNNNNNNNNNNNNNNNNNNNNNNNNNNNNNNNNNNNNNNNNNNNNNNNNNNNNNNNNNNNNNNNNNNNNNNNNNNNNNNNNNNNNNNNNNNNNNNNNNNNNNNNNNNNNNNNNNNNNNNNNNNNNNNNNNNNNNNNNNNNNNNNNNNNNNNNNNNNNNNNNNNNNNNNNNNNNNNNNNNNNNNNNNNNNNNNNNNNNNNNNNNNNNNNNNNNNNNNNNNNNNNNNNNNNNNNNNNNNNNNNNNNNNNNNNNNNNNNNNNNNNNNNNNNNNNNNNNNNNNNNNNNNNNNNNNNNNNNNNNNNNNNNNNNNNNNNNNNNNNNNNNNNNNNNNNNNNNNNNNNNNNNNNNNNNNNNNNNNNNNNNNNNNNNNNNNNNNNNNNNNNNNNNNNNNNNNNNNNNNNNNNNNNNNNNNNNNNNNNNNNNNNNNNNNNNNNNNNNNNNNNNNNNNNNNNNNNNNNNNNNNNNNNNNNNNNNNNNNNNNNNNNNNNNNNNNNNNNNNNNNNNNNNNNNNNNNNNNNNNNNNNNNNNNNNNNNNNNNNNNNNNNNNNNNNNNNNNNNNNNNNNNNNNNNNNNNNNNNNNNNNNNNNNNNNNNNNNNNNNNNNNNNNNNNNNNNNNNNNNNNNNNNNNNNNNNNNNNNNNNNNNNNNNNNNNNNNNNNNNNNNNNNNNNNNNNNNNNNNNNGCAAAAGCGCCUCAACGACCUUGUUUAUGUGCAUUACAAUUUGCGGUUGAGGCUAAAGUGCAUCCAGGAGGAAGUGGAGCUCAAGUAUACAGAUCCGAUUUAUGAGUCCUUCACCGCUGAUGACGAUGAUCCACUACUCGGCUGGCUUGUAGGCCAGCAGCAGGAGCCCGAGCUUGACGAGCCAGGAUCGCCUCCACGACCAGCUACCUUCAUAGCUACCGAAGCUGGGGUCGAUCCAGAGCAAUGGGCUGAGCGCAAUAUUCCACGCACUCCCAGAGCUGAUCAGCCGCAGGCACAGGGGAGCCAGACAAAGAGGGCCAGGAAAGGAAAACAAAGAAUCCUAAUGGAGAGUGUCGAGGAAGAGACUUGGACUAGCAGCAAUGAAGAUUCUGGUGGUGAUGGAUCUUCUAGCCAUUGAGGGAGCGGAGGACAGUAUGGUACUCAUGAGACACAGCCGGAGGGUGGUCUUUAUUUCACCGGUGAGUCCCAAUUUAUGGAUGCUACACAGGAUACGGACCACGGUCGACCACCUGAUAGAUGUCGUGAGGAUAUUAUUGGAUAUAGAAAACGGGCUCCUCGAGGUCGUUCAGGAAGACAGGAUACGACUGUAGAUCUGAUAACAUACGGAUACAGAUUCUAUUAUCCACAGCCUCAGCCUGACGAAUAUGGAUAUGGUGCAUUGGAUUUUGCUUCCGCCAUAUUUGGAUGGGCCCCUACACAAUCAGAGGACACCUCUCAGAGCCAGAGCAUGAGCGAGAGAUCCGACAGUUCUUAUAACCUGGCGCGCGUUCCUUCUGAUUGGGUUGAUCUGCCUCCUCCUGAUUAUACUUAUGAUCCAGAUAUCUACGAGAGCCAUCGGCACUCGUCCCGAUUUUAGAUAUCCUAGAGUACUUUAAAUGUAUAUAAAUGAUUGUAUCUUAAUUUGAAGAUAUUUUAUGUGUAUGAUUUUAUCAUUUGGAACGGGAGGAAAACAUAACAUGCAAUCAUGCAUCAUAUAUGUUUCAAAUUUCAACCCUAAAUUUAAAUAUAAAAACAUCAAAAAUCAUGAAAAAAGCAAUAAAAAAACAUCAAUUUUCACUUAAUUUAAGAUCCAACAGAGACAACAUUUUAAAAAAAUGUCUGGCUCGCGGUACCGGCCGGUACGUACCGGUUCGGACCGGUACCGUACCGGUCCGGCCGGCCACCGGUACGCCAAUCCGGACCGGUACGGCGUACCUUGCUAGCAGGCGUCACCAUUCACGAUGUAAGUCCCCAUGACUUUCCUGGCAAAGAUUCGAAGUAGCAAACAAUUGACAUUAUACUUGUAAAGGGCAAGAUAAAGAACAUGUGAAGAGCUAUUGUAUCGAGGUUUCACUUUAGCCACAUUCUUGCAAAUGUGGCAAACAAGACGUUCUAUCAGCAUGCUAUCAGCUCCAUUUAGAGAGUUGGUCAGUGUGUAAAUCCUCUAGGUGGAGGGACAUGUGGUGAGCUGCUAAAUAAUAAUAAUGAGUUAUAGAAAUGGAUAGCCUUCUCCUAGAGUAAGGACACUUGCAGACUGCCUUUGACAUGUGAUGGUUGAACAAGUCCCAGCAAGUGAAGCAACAUUAAUUUGUUGACAUAUUGUGCAAGGAAAACAUUUUUCUACAAGUCAGUUGACGUUGUAGAUUGGGUGCAUGACACCCAUUACAUCUCCAGCUUGAUGGAGAAAGUUAUGGAUAGAGCCGUAGCAUGUUGUGCAGAUGGUCACGGAUAACAAACCAUAAUCUAAGACCACCAAGGAGAUUCUGAUGAUUAUGUAGCCAUAUAUUUUUUGGAUCCUAUGUGCUGCCCCUUGCAUAGACGCAAUACUACUAGUCAUCGAGAAGAUCCGUAGGAUGAAGCAGAUUGUAAAGACAGACCAAUCCAUUACUAGAUUCAUAUACAACACAUAAUGGUUCUAUCUUUGAUGAGGAAGCAUAACAAAAGUGAGAUAUUGAGACCAACAGUAACCUGCUUUGCUACACAUGAUAUUGCACUUAAUAGCCUCUUCGAAAGGAAGGCAAGACUACAUUAUAUGUUUAUGAGUGCCAAGUGGCAGGAGAGUAGAUAUAUCUGGCCAGAAAGGAAGACAAUCACAUGGACAGCAUAGUCACAAGUCAAAAGUUUUGGUUGCAAGAUGAGAGAAUAGUUAAGGCUAUCUCACCAUUAUAUCAAGUAUUAAAGACCACGGAUGGCAAAAGAUAUCCUUAGAUGGGCUUCCUUUAUCAUAUGAUAAUGGCUGCUAAGACCGAGAUCAAGCAGGCACACCAAAAGCAUAUCAAAAAGUAUAAUGAUGUCAUUAAGCGGAGGUAGGAUUACCAGAUUGGGAGGGAUUUACUUCCAGCAGGGUCAUCAUUUGUUCAUCCUUGUACUUGUUUAUUCUCAUAAAAUAAAAUAAAAGCACACUCACUUUUUAAUUAACUAAAUCAAUUGCAAAAUGUUACCUCAACAUGAAGUUCUAAUACAGCAUCUCAGUAAUGGACAUGGAUGGGAAACUUCUGACUGUCCUAUGCAAUAUGAUCCAUCAGAUGGAGCCUAUCUAGUAGUUCCCAUCGGAUGUUUAGAGGAGGCAAGAAUUUUAAUGGGAUACAGGAUCAUUAGUUUGUCAACUCAAGCACAUCAUUGACAUAUAUGUGUAUUUCAUAGACUCAAGCAUUUAGGGAGGGUUCUCACAACUUUGGCGAAAGGGCAAAUAUGGCAGGCAAAGAUAGCAUGAAUCCAGAUUUUUUUUUUCAGAUAGCGACUGUAACUAAUCUAAUGUUUUAUGAUAAGUAGUAUCUGAUAAGCAAUUUGUUUAUUGCAUUUGCAGCUGAAUGGUGGUCCCGCUUUGGAAAAUCAUACAAAAUCUUAAGGCGAUCAGAUCCUCUCGCAGAUGGUUUCCUCCAAUGGAUGCGAACGCAAUUGGUUUAUCUUUGCUCUGAUCUACAACAAACAGAAGAACCACCUCAAAUGGAAGCACUUGGACAACCUAGUAUAUGCCCAUUGUAAUAUGAGGCUCAAAUUGAAAUGUAUUGAAGUAGUGCUGAAGUACAACGAUCCACUUCACAAUAAUUUUAUAUAUGAUGAGGAUCCAAUGAUUGGUUGGCUUGGAGGCCAACAACGGCCGCCAAAGUUUAUGAUCUAGGAUUACCUUUUCGAUCAACCAAUUUUAUAGCAAUGAAAGCUAGGAUGGAUGCAAAAUAAUGAGCAGAAUGAUGCAUCCCAUGCUCAUGCUGAGCAACCGCAGAAGUUGAGGGGGAGCUGAUCGUUAUCAUAGGGAUCCAUAUCUUAGACAUCCUCCAAGAGAGUUGAUAUAGAGAGACUAAGAAGAGACCACCAUGGUACCCGAUCUGCUCAGGCAAGUAGGACCAGUCAAGGUGGUAGGCCUAGUCAAGCCACCCAGUAGAGCCAGACAAACCGGGGUAUUUAGAGAAAGAAAGUAGUUCCUCAUAUCAGCAAAAAAGGGAAAAGAAAGAAAACUGCAGUUCCAUUGCAGAGAGAGGAUGAGGAGUCUAUUCACUUUGAUUCCGAGAUCAAUGAGCUCUCAGAUGACUAGCUUCCCGGAUCAUCUUGCUAAUGAUGAUGAUACUAAUAUUUCGAGCGAUGAUGCAUGUGGCGACCAAGGAGGAAGCAAUGGACAUGGCACAGGUGCAUACUACUUACAACCCAUUGUAUUCGAUCCACCAAUAAGUCAUAGUACUCUUAUAUCAUACAAGAUAUGGACCACGAAGCACGAUCAAGUAGAGCCCGUGAGAAUACGAUUGCAUAUAAGAGACAAACUUUUUGAGGUGUUUGAGACAUGGCACUACUACUAUAGAUGACCUUGCACGUGUAGUUGGAUACUUGGGCAUAUCUAGAUUUGAGUCACACACUAGAUCUUAUUCCACACAAGGAAGCUAUGACCCACAUGGAAAUCCUUCAUUCAUGUGUCAUAUUCAAGUGCCUAGUAACCUCCACAGUCUUAGGUAGUAUACAUGUCAGAUUUUGCUGCCUCGAUCUUCAGAUGGCCAAUCCAGUAUGAGACAGAGGAUCAGUAUUAGGACGGCUAUCCAAAAGGUGGAGCUUAUAGACCACAGGAAUGGGCAACAAAUUAUCUGAAAAUUGAAGUAAUAUCCCUAACCCAGAUUAUGACCAGGAUUCCAGCAUCUGCGAGAAAUAAGCACUCUACAAAAUUUAGAUAUUGAUACGCAUUUUGUACUUCAAAUCCAUUCUAUUGUACGUAUAUUCAAUUAUAUGUAGUCAUGCAUUCAAUUACGUGACAAUUGCAUUAAUUUAUCAAUUAUAGUAUGUUUGUCGAGACUCAAAACCAGAGGAAAAAGACAUCAAAAUAACAUAGAAAUUAUAAAUUAAACCUCAUGAUUCGAUCAAUGAGAAGGAAGAAUUCUCUUAAUCCGCUCAAACUCGAAUCUGUCAAGAGAAAAUUAGAAAAAAAUGGAGAAAAUGCGAAUGUAGCAUUAUUUCCUCUUUUCUUUCAUCGAUGAUCCACACGCAUAAACUAAGGUACAUCGCUACAAUUUAUAAUAGUAGCGAGGUCCUCUCUUUUAUAAUUUGGAUUGAAUUUCUCUCCUAGUUUGAAUAGGACUAGAUCUCCAAAAAUAAAUGACUAAUAGAAAUAAUUACGAGAAAAAAAUUAGUGCCACUAGAGGUAUUUCUCGAUUUCUACACCAACUUUAUCUUGUCGCUCCAUCUAAUUAUUCACAGAUUGAAAGAUACUCUCAUAUUCUCAAUCAAAAUCUUUUCUGGAAAAGAAACUUUUAAUUUGACCGACCUAUUUCGGAGACCAAAUGAUGAAAUUUUAGUCCAUUUCAACCCUUUAGGGGUUGGCCCUAAUUUAUAAAUCUCGAAAAGUUACCCGAUUUCAAAAAAAAAUCAUCUCAAUCGAAUGUCAUAUGACCUAGUUAUAGCCUCUGGAAGUUUGACUCUAUCUAGCCCUGCUCGUAGUGCCCAAAGUGAUCCGCAUCGAGUUUGAUUCUUCUAGAUCAGACCUCCCCCUAUUUAGGAGAUUUAGUUUCUCUUACAUCAAAACUGAAGAUGGAGAAACGCUUGGUUCCCUGCAUCACUGUUGAACUUCUUGGCUUUGCUCGAAGAUGGUUUUCGACCUUGCUCUCCUUUGCUUCUAGAUCCCAGCGAACCACUUACCAUGCAUUCGCAUCUAGACCACAAACUAAGGCCCCCAUAGAUGUAGAAGACCGAAGGUCUGAUACUAACUUGAUUCGAUCCGGAAGAAGGAAGAAUUCUCUCAAUGACUCAACUUGAAUUUCUCAAAAUAAAUAAAAAAAAGAUGGACAAAUUACAAAAGUAGAGUUUACAUCUACUUUUCUUUCAUUGAUGGUCCACACUCAUAAACUAAGGUACAUAGCCCCUAUUUAUAAUAGUAGCGAGGUCCUCCUUUUCACAAUUCGGGUUAGAUUCUUCUACUGGUCGAAUAAAACUAAAUCUAUUAAAAACAAAUAAGAAUAAUAGAAAUAAUUAUAAAAAAAUAAAUUAUAUAAAAAUUGGAUCUCAACUUCUAUAUCAACUUUGCCUUAUGUCGUUCCACCUAAUUCUUCACGAAGUAGAAGAUAUGCUCGAUCGGUCUUUCUCGAAAAGAAAACUUUUAGUUUGAUAGACCUGUUUGAAAGACCAAACAAUAGAACUUCAGCCCAUUCACCUUCUUGGAGGUUGGCCCUAGGUUAUAGAUCCCAAAAAGUUAUCCCAUUUUCUUUUAAAAAAAAUAAUCGGACGUCAUAUGACCCAGCUAUGGCCUCUAGGAGUUUGGCUUGCAAUUUCGCUUUCUAAUAUGGUAGAUCUUGCUCCUGAACCCCAUCCAACCCUACUCGUAGUGGUCAAAGCGAUCCACAUCGAGUCUGACGAUCCUCCUGGAACAACCGCAACCAUUAAAAUAAACUCUAAAACAAUGAAAAAGUGAAACAACAAGAAAAUGAAAAAACAAGAAAAAUAAACAAAAAUGGUGCACUUGUAUGGAACUAGUAUGCCAAUACACACCAUAUUUUGAUAUGAUACCGGACUGAUAUCAUACCACACCAGUUGCCGACCGAUACGACAUUCGGUACUGGUUUGGCAGAUCUUGUAUGGGAUACUCCCCACAUUAGUGAAAGGUUAUUUUAUAGGGGGUAGAGGAAAGUUCUAAGAACAUGCAUGCCAAAACCACACAAUCUGGAUGGAAUAUGGCAACCAGACUCCUAAAACAUGAUUUCUGACAAACCUAAUGUUUUUGGAGAUUGUGUAAUCCCAAUCUCCCCUACACACCAUUUCCCACUCAUCUCUUUCUGCACUAUCAUGUGUGCCCUUCCUACUUCUCUCUUUCUUCUCUUCCUAUUCUUCUUCCUCUACUUCUAUUCUUUGCUCUUUUCUGUUAUUUUCUUCCUUUUCACUAUUACCACAUACUCCUAGAAGGGCUCUCUUCGUGCUGAAUUUCUAUUUCACAUUCUAUCUGCAUGGUGUAUUUAUCUAUUUAAAAGCAUGAAAGGUCUGAUGUUGAGAGCUAAAGCAGAGAAUUCACAUUCUAACUACAUGCAGAUUUUUGCACAGUAUUUGGUCAUGAAGCAUGAACAGCCAAGAAAACAAAUCAUAAGUUGAUUAGAAUUUCUCAGUAUUUUACAUAAAUGUCACUCACAAGGUAGCGAAUGAUAAAGCCAAAUGCCAGUUGGUUGCAUCAAGGCCUCGAGAUUAAGUAUCAGUGCUAAAACAAGCUUAUGUAGAGUCUUCAAAUAUAGACAAUCCAACCAUAAUCAGGACUGUUACAACCACCAAAAAAGAAAGAUGGUCAAUUUGAGGUAUCCUUGAAAACUGUUGGUAGUAAACACUUGCACCCAUCGGGCUUCCUGGGGAAGUCAAGUUUGUCCAGGUGUGCCGAAAAAUGACAGCAACUUUUUGAGCCAAGCCCUCAAAGAUAAUAUAAUGGGAUUACGUAAUCUGCAUUGACAUCAUUGAUUUUAGUCCUGCGGUAGCAUUCACUCUUUAAAGACUACAAAAGAAAUUGUAACAAUCAUUGAAAUCUUUCCAGACCAGACUAGAAGCCAGAAAAUUAUAGAUAUCUUAAGUACUGAGUGGGUAGGGCAUUCUGCCACAUGUAUGGUAAAAUCAGAAAUCUAUAUUUUGAAAAGCUUCAAAAAAAAUGUUUUACCUGUUCCAUGAGGCAUUGCUGUACAUGUUCAACUUCUCAAAAAAGGCGAGUGUGUAGAAAGUGAACCAAUCUACAACAGAUACACCAAUCUACAAUAUAUGAAGGAAACAUUUCCAAUAAAAGUUAUUCAAACUCAGGUGGCAAGGAUGAAACUGGAAUGUGCAAGAUGCUGCAGCAAUCUUAAGGUCUGUAGCAAUGCCAGCAUAGAAUUCUCAUGCAAGGAUAAACAGCAUUAGAAGACCUGGUCUUACAUCUGAGUCAAGAUGGUGAGAGUAGGAUUUUUCCCCUUUCUUGCUACUUCCAAUUGUCAAAACACCAGGAGACUGAAACUGCAGAUUCCAAAGAUGGUGACAGAAAAUCUUAAACUAGCUGAUUCAAAUCCAACUGACAAGAUUAUAUUUUCCAAAAUUCUAGAUGACUUAACUGACAUUUAACAGAUUAAUAGAACAAUCCUAACUUUCAUCAAAGAUAGAAUUGUUAAUUUAUUUAAUCAUCAGAUGAAAAACUAUCGAUGUUCAACUAAAUUCCUAGCCUUUUCCAAUCACAAAUAUUAAUAAAAUCAGCAACUCAAUAAAUAUAAGGAAAAAUUCAGCCACACUUUAGCAAGGUACUCCGUAAUUUUCUAAGGAAAAAAUGAGUAUUGCUUUUCAAAUGAUUGUGUGCUCAUAGGCCUAAUCAAAUCAUGAUAGACAUGUAAAAUUUCCAUCGUGAGCUCGAUAUGCAUCCCUCGGUCCCACUUUCCAUCAUGCAUUGCCAUGUCUUGAUCAUAUCAAUAUCGCCUUUUUUAUUUAGUGUAAUUUUAAAGUGAUUGUGAGUAGGUGCAAUCCCUUCCAUGGGAUGGAUUCCCUUCAAUCAACUUAGUUGAGAGCAAGAUAUGCUAUCUCAGUAUUAGGCUCUGUACCAGUGCCAUCCUAUUACUAUGUCAGUACGCCCAGCAUAGAGGCUGGGUCGGCGUACCGAGUGUCAGUAUGCCUCCCGUCCCGUAUACCGAUACUGAACCGGUAUGGUACGCCCCGUGCUAUUCGGAUCGGUAUAAUAUGGCAUACCUUAGUUGAGAGCACAAACAUUGGGCCCCUGCAAAGUCAAGGGUCUAACCACAAAAAAAGCACUUGGAUGUACAUUCUCAAGCCAUAGCCUGAGAUUCUUACUUAAUUCAUCGCAGUCAGGUGCGAUGCAUUUGCCCCCCAUUAGUAAAGUGCCCCUCUUCCUAUUUAGGACUUGCUUGGUUUGUGGAAAGAAUUUUACUUCACUGGAAUGUGUUUCCUAAGAAGCUAAUGCCUAGGUACAUUAUAUCUGAGAACAUGGUUCGUCGUACCGACCCAAACUGAGCGGUACGGAGUGUACCAUAUCGUACUGGUUCGGUAGCGGUACCCGAUACAGGUGGCGUACUGAUACUUGGUAUGCCGAAAAGACUCCGUACCGUACCGUACCGUACCAACAGUGCUAGUGUGGCAUCGUACGAGAUCUGAUACUGAGACGGCAAACCUUGCCUGAAAAAGUGAUUUUGACAUGUUUGGUUGACCAUAGAAAAGUGGUAUAGAAAGCACACUUCCGGAGUGACUUAUGUUUAAUUGAGCAUCUACUUUUCUAAAAAAGUUGUAUAAAAUACUUUUUGUCCUUAAUAAACUGACUACAAUGAGAAAAAAGGAAAUAAGCCACUAGGGUUUAGAGCAUUUCUAGAAAAAAAAGGAUUUUACCUCGAUUCCCAAUGCAUAGGAAAAUGAGUUUCCCAUGUCCCGCAUAGGUUUAUAUUUUCUAUAGGAGAAAGGAAGCUUGCUCCCAUGAAAAGGCUACUUUUCCAUCUCUCUACUUUGAAACCUCCAACCAAACAUAAGCCAUUUUGUCAUUUUUCCGUUGACCACAUUUAGGGGGUUGAGGUGAGAAAUAGCUUUACGAACUGUCCAUUCACCACGCACCAGCCCCAUUCACUUGCAACUCGUAGAAGUUGUAAAUACACGAGGCCCCACAACUAUCAAAGUAAUGUGGGGCUGAAACACGAGAGUGCCUACCUCUAGGCUGAGAGCGGCUGCAUGCUGCCCAUUCUGUCAAGUAGGCUACUUUUUCUGGAACAUAGUCUGGAAUAACCAUGCCCAUGCUAUAAAUAUCUUUGGUACUGCCAUUUUGAAAUGGUUGUUACUAGCAAAGCCGAUUCUUGGGCACGCAUAAUCACGUAUGUAAGCAAGCCAAUUGCUUCAAUAGAGUACAUUGAUCUAGAUACAUACAAAAAUGAGAGACCAAGUGCUAGCAAAGACAGAUUUAUAGCCCACGGUAACAAGAGAAACAUACCCCUAGCCGGAUCCAUUCCUAGACUCUCGUGAGUGUGAUUCAACAGAGUCUUCUGCUUGUGAUCGAUAGAAUAAUGAAUACGUCCCACGUGCUCAAGAGGCAGAUCCAAGGUUAGUAGCUUACCUAGGAGCAUACUUCGGUGUAGCAUACAUAGCAGCAAAUUAUGCAAUAAACAAUUUCAAGUUCCAUCAAAUCCCCUCAACAUUCGAAGAUUAAUCUGUAUAUUCUCAUUUGCACCAGUUCUAGAAAACUUUCCUAUAAGAUUCACCAAUCAAGAGACAAUUAUAAAGUAUCAUCAAACCAACAAACUGGUCAAGCUCCAAUAAAACAAUCUUGUAUACAUACCAUCCAAGCCAUGUCCUUAAGAAUGGUAUCUACACCCCACUAUUGGGAGAAUUUUGUAGAGGUUCUAAAUUCUAAUAGAAUUUCCAAUUUUCACAAAAUGCAUUCACUUUGAUACAUAGCUUGGAGGGAAAAGGAUGGGAGAUUAUCACAUAUAUUACCGCUCAUUUACCCUAAGGCCCUAUUUGCUUGAGAACACUCAAGACAGCGUGGAGCAAACUAGAAUAAAUCCUCAUCUUGCUUUAUCCUAGCAAAUUUGCUCCAGAAUAAAGAAAACUGGUGGAGGGUAGGGGAGCAUCCAAAAAAAUUUGAAAAUAAUCACUAAACCUAGAUUGGUAAAAUAGAUCUAUUUAGGAUUACCCUCCAUUUUUGCAUGGCCUAAAUGUGGAUAUCCUAAUUUAAAAUACAAUCAAGCCAAAGACAUAUUAAAAAGAAAUGGUAAAAAGGGUAUCCAAUGGAUGAGGCUCCUGCCAUUGUAAGGUCUAAGAAGGUCAAAUGUAUACAGCCUUACCCCCGAAUGUGAAUAGGCUAUUUCUGUAUUUUGAACCCGUGACACCCAAGUCCCCCAGGUCACAAUGGAUCAACCUCAUAAAAAGAAAUGGUGGCUAAAUUAAAAUAUAAUCAAGCUAAAGACACAUCCAAAAGACAUGGUAAUUAAACAAUCUUUCAAAUUUCAAGGUUUUUCUCCUUUGCCACGUUCCAGUGGAGAUAGUUACCCUAUUUAAGCAAUGCCACACUUGGUUGCUUGGGCAUUAGUUGUAGCAAAGCUAAUAUUGAGAGGAAAUGGGUGUUAAUAGUGAAAAUGGAAGACCUAUAGUGGAUAGUAGGGUUGUUUUCGGGGUAUCGUGGGCAUUUUGAUGUCUCAUUGAUGGAGUCAUAGGAGAUUGGCUAGCAGCUUGACGAAGGUCCACAUAGAUUGGAUAGCAAUAAAGAAGCAACCUUACCAUUGACAGAAAUUGCACAAUGCUGUCAAUUAACCGGUAAUUGAUGCCACAAAAUAAUCGUAUGUCUUAACAAGUAGCUGGUGGUUAUCAAUAACAAAUUUGACAAACUCUGAGGAAAUCUUUUCCACUUAUGUGAACUUGCAAUUAGUUCUGCAUCCAUAUUCUGAUUAGAUUGAAACAGUAUAGUGUUCAAAUAUAUUGAUGAGGAAUAUAAAAAAUAAAAUAAAUAUUUUUUAUACACAUCUAAAAUUGAAAAUGUGAGGGCUGAUGCCCACGCAUGCCUUCUUUAAAGAUACCAAAUUUUGUGCUUCAAAUGGUAUGUUUGUGGCAGCAAAGGUGCAAUAGGCCAGUAAUAACUGCACAUCUCCUCAUGAGCAAAAUUUAUACUGAUAACUGACAGAAAAAAAGAAAAAAGGCAAUUCCAUGAGCAUGUCAUGGUAAGGAGUGGAGCAUGAGAAGCAUAGAUAUUCAUUGUGAAAAUACAGUCCAACUAUCUGAAACAUCGCCUCAAGCAACUUAAUUUUGUCUGAGAAUCUUUUAAACUUACAUGACAAGAGCAGGACCUUCGUGUAAAAUUUACAAGGCGAUGCAUGCAAAUCAGGUUUAACCAUCAAACUGAAGGCAACAUAACACCAAAUAACAAAGCAAUAAGAGCAGAAUGGUAAACAUAAAUAAUGGCGCCAACCACAAAGUCAUAGAUGAUUCAAAGUAAGCAAUGUUUAUUAUAUAUGACCAUAAUUUCAGGUAGACAGACAUAGCAAUAGUAGUUUUUUUCCAUAAUAUUAAGGCGCAAGAGCAUGCACAAUUAAAAAUCUGACACUGAAUAAUUGACUAGCUGGGGCUGAUGCAUGUCAGUUAUAGACAAACCAUUUGCAAAAACAGGAUAUGGUAGGACCAUCGCAUAAACGAUCCUUUCCCUUUUCUUCCAAGUCUAGUCCCUAACCACAACAUUAGUGAAAGACUGAAAUGUCUGAAGACUAGCAGACAUAUAAUAAGCACAUGGUGAGAUAUGGACAGAAACUGAGAAAACAAGGAGAACAUGAAUAACAUCAACACCCAGAAUGAGGCUAGAGUGGAACUCAUAUUCCAAUAGUACUAAAAAUUAGAUUAUUGCUGAACGCACAUUAUCCCCAGCCUAAUCAUUCACAAUAUAAUUUUCCUUUAUAUUUGAAUGAACUUCUGAGUUCUGAGUAAUCCCUCAUCCAUCCUGGCCCCAUUUGCCCAACCUCGCCUCUUAUUACUCCAUAUUCGCAGAUAAAAGAUUAAUAAAAACUUACCACCUUGAGAAUAUUACCCUUUCUUAAUAUGCACAAACAAGCAAUUUCCUGAAUAUGUUAUAUCUCUUUCAGAAAAGCUAUGGUUCCAAAUUUAUCUUUUGCCAUUAUCUCCUCUACAGUCUCGCAUCUCUUCCCACAAACCCUCUUGUUCUUAGUUGUUUGUCAAUGAACAUUAAAAAGCAUCAGGUGAAACAUAUUUCCUGCCAGUUAAAGUGAAAACCGCUAAUAUCCUCUAAACCCUAAAAAAGCCUCGUCACUACAAUCUUCCCAGACUCUUGCAAUAAAGAGGAGCGGUUAUGGAGCAUAAUUCUAAAUCAAAGAGGCUCAUGUAUAGAUGGAGCAUAUUUUUCAUCAACUAGCCAUCUACCUCGUGUCAACUGUCUAAGACUUUGCAAUGCUUUUAUGGCCAAGAAGAUUUUGAACAACACAAACCAACCUGCCAUGGAACCUAGUGCAACGGCUGGCAAAUAGGGAAACCGAACUUACUGUUCUCACCGAACUCAUCGAACCAAGGAGCAAUCUCCCUGAACUUCCUUAUAUUUUGAAAGUUGUCUGGAUGAAGAAAGAAGAUGAAAAGACCGCCUCCACUGGAUUCGAUCCUUAACGAGACUGCGUAUUAAAAUCAUGAUUCAACCCUAUCUCGACCGACAAGUAUGGGGCAUCUUCAAAGACGGCAUGGAAAUCAAGACCUAACAAGACUGCCCGUUGAAUUCAAGAUUCGACCUUUUCUUGAAAAGUGGCAACCUAAACAAUUCGCUGAUACAAGGCUUCUUCAAAGACGACAUUGAAAUCAAAACCUAAGAAGACUGCCCAAUGAAAUCAAGAUUCACCCCUUUUCUUGGCAGCCGAACCCAUGGUCAAUAAUUCGUUAGGGUACAGGAAGGAAACAUUCAAAAUACCACACACCCGACACUACACAAGCCCAGGAAAAAAAGAGAAGAAAAGAAAAGGAGAAAGAAGAAUCAAGAAACUCUUCUUGCACCGACAAAGCAAAGAAUUAGGUAGAUACAUAAAUGUGGGUUACCAGAAACGGGAGGUGCAAACCAAGACGGCCCAGUUCUUGUUGUGCAUCAUGGAGGACCGAACGGGAAGGAGAACCGCAAGCAAGAGGGAGAAGAAUAGCAGGAGGAGAAGGAUCCGAUGAAACGCCGAAGGAUGCCGCCGCUCCAAUUGAAGCGCGCGGGUCUCGAACGCCGUCACCAUUCCUCCCGCCUCUUCUUGGAGGGGUUUCCUGGAUGGACGGCGACGAGAGAUGCGACGGAGUGGAAGGGAGCUGGGGGUACCGCGGCNNNNNNNNNNNNNNNNNNNNCAAAACGAAACGGAGGAGGAGGAAGGGGGGUGUAUUGAGAAAAUUUCAAGGGCAAUAUGGUAAUUACACUAAAGGUUAGUUUGGGUAUUUUUUUUUUGGUUUUUUGGGGGGUGUCCUUAGCAAUAGGGGGGGUGUAUAUAGAACCCCCCUAAUAAGACCAUGAGGGCCAGAGCCAGACGAUGUUGUAAUACGGGGUUUGGUGCACCGGGUCUCGGGUCCGGGAAUGUUGAACCCGAGUACAAACAAGCGCGACGGCGGUUCCCGGGCAGCGUGGAUUUCAAUUUGGCCGUCAGCGAGGGACGCCUCUCCGCUGAAACAGACCGGGCCGCACCGCUGGUAGUUCUCACGUUGGCCCAUAGGCCAUAGGUACGGGCCCCGAAUCCGCCGAGCUGGAAGCAAAAUAGCAAAUGCCACUUCUUAAAAGGCUAUUAAAAUAAUAAUGGUGUUUUAGAAAAAUAAAAAAAAAAUUUUGAGGAGUAGAAAGUUGAUUGAAAAAAUAUUGGCCACCUCGAGUUCGGGCGAGACCUACCAUAUUGACCUUGGAAUGUCAGAAUAAUUUUAGAGAUUAUGUAACAACCUGCAUCACUCAUAAUAUUUUUGUUUAUCAGUCUGGUUCUGUGUGAACCUUGAUUAGUUUUCUUUGUUAGUAUAAUCUUGUUAGAGUGAUUUUAGAGAUCACAUGACAACCUGUAUUAUCUAUGAUAUUUUCUAUUGUUAGUGAGAUCCUAUAUCAACCUAUAUUAUUUUUCAUAUAUGGAGUCUGUACACGAGUAUAUAUAACUCUUGAGAUAUACUGAAUAUGCAAGUAUAGAGAAAUAAAAUCGUUUUUCUCUCUUUUUUUCUUUUGUUUUUCUCUUCUUCUCCAAAUAUUUCAACGGGUUGGUUUCUAAAUUUGAGUAGAAUGAAACAUCCCACCUAUUGAUGCUCUAUUUGAAGGGACCGUUGGCGUCUGUUUAGUAUGGCAGAAGGAGAGAGUAACACGUUGGUGUCUCCUUUAGCAUGGCACGAGAAUAUAUAUAUAUAUAGAGAGAGAGAGAGAGGAAAAUCUUUUUAUAUAGCUCAAUUUUUUAAUUAAAUAUUUUCUUACUCUCUCUCUUAAUUGUUACAAGCAAUUACUUAAAAAGUAAAUGUACCGGCGAAAGUUGAAGCGUUCAUAUAUCUUGCCUUGAAAAAUAGAUUGGACAUUGGAGAGGUCCUUGCCACUAAAAAAAAGUUGGAUGGUGAAUUGAGGCUUGGGGGUUGAAAUAACAACUGGCCUUUUCAUAAAAUGUCCGUUUAGUAGAAGCAUUUGGUCCUCUUUGCUCUCAUGCCUAAAUUUGAAUAGAUUCACACCCGGAUCUUCAUAUUCUUUGGAUAGUAUGGAGAUUCAAGGAAAUCAAUGUGCCGCUAAGGAAAUCUUGCAUCAACUUCUUAUAGCACUAAGUUUGUGAAUUUUCGUUAGAAGAAAAUAUUCAUCAACCACCAUUUCGCAUAAACUCUCCAAUCGCUCCAUCCCUAGCAAAACUUAUGCUCGGACAUGUUGCUAAACAACCAUAGCUCCAUCUCGAAAUUCUUGUUGCCAACAAUGUAGAUUGAUCCUCUAGGACUCUCUUAUAUCUCUCCCUUUUAUGUCUCUCUUUCACUAGUAACUACCACCACAAAUUGUAUUUAUUCCUUUCUCUAUUUUAAUAAAGCUAGGGGAAGUGUCUUACUUCAUCUGCUACCGUAAGACAAAUUUCAAAACUUCUAAUCAAAUCAUGCAAAGAAGAAAAAUAGGUGGCCCAACACUAUGGCUUUCAUUCACGUUUUCCUUCUGAAUUAUGUGAACCAAUAUCUUCUUUUUUCUCUAUUCAAAAGGCAAGUGCUUUCUGACCCCAAGGGAUCCUCCGGAGAUCUAAAUGCUGACCAACCAAGGUGUCUUUGCCAGCUAACAAUGGAGGUCGAAUCUAGUGGUAUCAUUAUUGCCACCUUUAUCAAGUGUAAGAGAUCUGAUACCGCUUAAAGACAUCACCAUACCGGUCUAGGAUGGAGAUAUUUAAUGAUCAUGCCAUUUUGUUUGCUUGCAUAUUUUCUUCAUGCAUAACUGCUAUUAGUGAUGUGCAAAUCUAUAUCACCAAAAGACCGAUUACUGUCUCCAUCAUGCUUCCAAACCCAAACCCUCCUAUAACUUGAUUAGAGGCUACAGAUUUGUUUUCUAUAUAUAAAAAUCCAGCAAUUACUUUCUGGAUUGUAAUAAAGAAUUUUUUUUCCCUAUUGGAAAUCAUCAUAUGGUCAUUCUUUUUUUUAUAAUAAUGUUUAAAAUGAGAACAAGAACUAUUUUAUCUUAUCCAUAUGCCAUUAAUCCAAACAAAAUGAUGUACCUUUGAAUUCAAACAGUUUGUCUUUCUAGAUAAGGAAAUCUAACGCGACAAAAGAGCGGCCCUAGACACAAGUAUCUUUUAAGAUUCUGAUCAUUGAUUGCCUUGCAGAGUCCCGAUCAUCAACAUGUUUUUCAUGAGAUCUAAAGAAUUGGCUGCCAAUCAAGUGGACAAAUAGUGAGUUUGUAAAGAUUAUGAAUCACCAAUACGCGGAAGACACAACCCUAAUUGGCCAUUUGGUGGAGUAAGAAUAGGUAUAAUGACUAAAUGCACACUGUAUCAAAAUUGACCAAAAAAUCACACCAAAGACUAAAUAUAUAGGAAUGACAGAGAGAGCGUAAAUAUAAAAUAGGCCGAAUGAAGAUACAACAAGGUACUAAGGCCCUGUUUGAGGGAGUUGUUGGCAGUAGAGCUGUUGGAAGUAGAGCUGUNNNNNNNNNNNNNNNNNNNNNNNNNNNNNNNNNNNNNNNNNNNNNNNNNNNNNNNNNNNNNNNNNNNNNNNNNNNNNNNNNNNNNNNNNNNNNNNNNNNNNNNNNNNNNNNNNNNNNNNNNNNNNNNNNNNNNNNNNNNNNNNNNNNNNNNNNNNNNNNNNNNNNNNNNNNNNNNNNNNNNNNNNNNNNNNNNNNNNNNNNNNNNNNNNNNNNNNNNNNNNNNNNNNNNNNNNNNNNNNNNNNNNNNNNNNNNNNNNNNNNNNNNNNNNNNNNNNNNNNNNNNNNNNNNNNNNNNNNNNNNNNNNNNNNNNNNNNNNNNNNNNNNNNNNNNNNNNNNNNNNNNNNNNNNNNNNNNNNNNNNNNNNNNNNNNNNNNNNNNNNNNNNNNNNNNNNNNNNNNNNNNNNNNNNNNNNNNNNNNNNNNNNNNNNNNNNNNNNNNNNNNNNNNNNNNNNNNNNNNNNNNNNNNNNNNNNNNNNNNNNNNNNNNNNNNNNNNNNNNNNNNNNNNNNNNNNNNNNNNNNNNNNNNNNNNNNNNNNNNNNNNNNNNNNNNNNNNNNNNNNNNNNNNNNNNNNNNNNNNNNNNNNNNNNNNNNNNNNNNNNNNNNNNNNNNNNNNNNNNNNNNNNNNNNNNNNNNNNNNNNNNNNNNNNNNNNNNNNNNNNNNNNNNNNNNNNNNNNNNNNNNNNNNNNNNNNNNNNNNNNNNNNNNNNNNNNNNNNNNNNNNNNNNNNNNNNNNNNNNNNNNNNNNNNNNNNNNNNNNNNNNNNNNNNNNNNNNNNNNNNNNNNNNNNNNNNNNNNNNNNNNNNNNNNNNNNNNNNNNNNNNNNNNNNNNNNNNNNNNNNNNNNNNNNNNNNNNNNNNNNNNNNNNNNNNNNNNNNNNNNNNNNNNNNNNNNNNNNNNNNNNNNNNNNNNNNNNNNNNNNNNNNNNNNNNNNNNNNNNNNNNNNNNNNNNNNNNNNNNNNNNNNNNNNNNNNNNNNNNNNNNNNNNNNNNNNNNNNNNNNNNNNNNNNNNNNNNNNNNNNNNNNNNNNNNNNNNNNNNNNNNNNNNNNNNNNNNNNNNNNNNNNNNNNNNNNNNNNNNNNNNNNNNNNNNNNNNNNNNNNNNNNNNNNNNNNNNNNNNNNNNNNNNNNNNNNNNNNNNNNNNNNNNNNNNNNNNNNNNNNNNNNNNNNNNNNNNNNNNNNNNNNNNNNNNNNNNNNNNNNNNNNNNNNNNNNNNNNNNNNNNNNNNNNNNNNNNNNNNNNNNNNNNNNNNNNNNNNNNNNNNNNNNNNNNNNNNNNNNNNNNNNNNNNNNNNNNNNNNNNNNNNNNNNNNNNNNNNNNNNNNNNNNNNNNNNNNNNNNNNNNNNNNNNNNNNNNNNNNNNNNNNNNNNNNNNNNNNNNNNNNNNNNNNNNNNNNNNNNNNNNNNNNNNNNNNNNNNNNNNNNNNNNNNNNNNNNNNNNNNNNNNNNNNNNNNNNNNNNNNNNNNNNNNNNNNNNNNNNNNNNNNNNNNNNNNNNNNNNNNNNNNNNNNNNNNNNNNNNNNNNNNNNNNNNNNNNNNNNNNNNNNNNNNNNNNNNNNNNNNNNNNNNNNNNNNNNNNNNNNNNNNNNNNNNNNNNNNNNNNNNNNNNNNNNNNNNNNNNNNNNNNNNNNNNNNNNNNNNNNNNNNNNNNNNNNNNNNNNNNNNNNNNNNNNNNNNNNNNNNNNNNNNNNNNNNNNNNNNNNNNNNNNNNNNNNNNCAAAAAUACAGCUUUCCGAAAAAGCUGAAACAGCUUCCUCCCAAAAGCUCCAAAUUGGAGCUUCCUCCCGAAAGCUAUUUUCAGCUUCCCGCAAAAGCUGAAACAGCUUUUCGAAAAAUUUACCAAACAUAGUUUUUCAUCUAAAAGUACUUUUAGAGGGUCAGAAAGUGCUUUCUCGCCCUCCAAAAGCUCCCCAAACAGGGCCUAAGUAUAAUUGCCGAUUUGACAAGCAGUACAGGGCUGGGCUACUUUGACGGAUGUACAUAGUGGAAGGACGGCCAAUGUUAGUUACUAAAAUCAUUAGAAGUGGAGGCGAGACGUAGAUAGAAAACAUCAGAGUGGGAAGCAAAACACUAGCAUAUGAUUAAGCUGCCAAAGUUGAAAAACUAGAACUUGGCUAUAUCCUCAAAACAUUAGAUAUGGUUGCGAUCCAGCAAGAAAUCUAUGUUUUUUGCGGAGAAAGCGAGGCAACGAGAACCACAAUGCAAGUUGCUGAAGAUACAUUGAAACACAUGCUUAAUUUUACCUAAGCCAAGGCCGAGGCUGGAAGACUUUUUGCUUCCCAAGGCAACAAAAGAUCGAAAAUUCUCCAAGCAGAUAACCUACCAUCGUACAAACGACAAGCAGAGACCCAUCAGCAAAAUCUAGCUACAGCAAAAACCCUAGCUAGCCCUAGCCAUCAAUUUCAAAUUUCAAGAUCCCUUGGAACCUUGGCACACAAAGAUAUGCAGGUCCCCAUCUGUGCUCCCGUGAGCAAUCCACCCGCUGGAUGGCUGGAGUAGCGUGCGCCGACCACCAGCCAGAAAACCGGAUGGAUUAAGGGGUUAGGUUGGAAAAGGGGACGACCACUGAAAACUCUCCGCCAAGGCUCCCACGGGAAAAGAAGCUCCAUAUUGUGGGCGAUCAUUACACCAGCAAACAAGGCUCGUGUGCUGACGUGUGAGGCCACUAUUAGGUGCUCAUCAUCUUCCCCUCGGUCUCUGGUCUCUGCAGCGCUAGAUUCGGGUCUAUUUCUUUCUCUGUAGGAUGCGAUGGGCGCAUCGGGUUUGGAGAUUUAGGCUCCAAUCCCUACAAAGAUCUUACGUAUCUGCUGUCGCCGUCCACCUUCUCAUGAGAUCUUUUGAAAAGGGACGGCACGAUGUCGCUUCCAAGACCGCAACGGCGUCAGCUCCCAUGCACGACGCUAUCUCGGCGUCAUCCAUGCAACGGGCACGGGUUGGAUGGACGGCCGGAGGGCAGAUUUAUGGGUGCCAACGCCAGCGUCGCUAUUGGCUCGACGGCUCGAUCGGGCGCACAUGGAUGAUGGAUUUGUUGCUUUAUUAUUAUUAUUUUUUCUUUUCUUUUUAGUUUAGUGUGGCCUCACAAGUUUGAGAAGAGUUGGAAAAUCCAAACCUGCUUUCAUCACGAGCGCUUGAAUAAAGUACUUAUAUUUUGCAUGCAGAAAUGAAUUACAAAAUUGAUGCACAUAUUUUCUAAUUUAAAGUACCAAAAGACGCAUCCUUAACUACAUUAUUAGAAGGCCAGCAUAUUUUAGGUUCCUUUCUAGCUCUAGCUUCGUUCAUGCCUAUCACGAACUGCAAUGAUAAUCAUGAAAUGGAUCCUAGGGAUUAGCCAUUAUUGUACAAAUCAUACAUUCCACUUUUUGUUUUUUAUAUUCAUGCAAAUCAUCUUCAACGCUAAAUUAACAUAGGUCUAGAUAUCUUUGAUAGAUUAGGGUUAGAGAACAACAUAAUCUCCUUUAAAGAUCGAAUAACAUAUUUUGCUAAUAACAAGGCAACCCCCUAGUUCUGAACCUAUUCUUUCAAGUUUGCUUGCGAAGGGCCAUGCUGGUUUAGUAUUUUUUUUUUUAAUGAAGCACGAGAAAUAAUUGAGAUCAUGGAAACAAAGUGUUUCGGCCUCUCAAGAGGAUAUAGUUCAUGAUCAUUUGACGGUGCUUGUUUAGCAUUAUUAGCGCAUUCGAGAGUACAAAAUGCAAAGAAAUCCUAUGUUAAAGCUCAAAAUUUCUACAACUCUAUGCGCUCCUAUUGAAUUCUCUCUCAAGAUUCUCUAGCAUUCUUUUCUUAAUUCCAGAAAAUAAUCUUGAUUUUUUCACCCAAACAGAAGAUGAAUCUUGCUUAUUCAUUUAUCCUUUCGACACUCACCAUACUUUUCUCUCAAAAAUAGUCUUCAAUAACUAAGCUGGAAGCUUAACUCCAUCUACAAGUGGUAUAACAGUGGCCUAGGGGAUAAGUAAUUGGUUUCUCUACUUGAUUUCUUCGGCAGCCGUAGGUCUCUAGGGUUUCAUCGCAUAAGGUAUCGAUAAAGACACUUCUAAGAGACGAACUUGCUUUCAUGUCUCUCUUUAUAAAGCAUACCUAAAGAAACAUGCAGAAAGAAAGAGCACAUCCUUACUUGUUUUAUUAAUUAUUUCUAGUGCCCUGCACGAGACCUGUGCUUUUAUAUCUUGUCAGCCAGCUCACAUUUUAGGCCACAGAAUGUCACGUAAUGUACUGUUCGUUCAUCACAAUCCAAGACGCUUGUCCUGUGAGAUCCCAGCACGUAGUUACACCCAAUUGCCUUUCCAAGGCUCGGCACUUUUGAUUCCCAGCGCUGAAGAGUGGAUUCUGUGUCGUUGGGAUUGCUCUGCAGCUGGGAUUGAUUUCGUUUGUUCAAGCCACAUGCAAGUCCUGACCACUUGCACCCUAGCCUAUUUAUGGUGACCCAUCACCCAUAUUAUUAGUAUAAUUUUAAAAAUUAUAUAAUAAUUUAUAUCAAUUUAAUAUUUUCUUAUUCAUACAAUUUUAUAUUGAUCAAUAUUAUAUUUUAUUAGUAUGAUCUUAUUUGAGUGAUUUCAAUAAUCGCAUAACAACUUAUAUCAGCGAGUAAUAUUUUUCUUUGUUAGCAUUAUCCUAUAUCAGCUUAUGUUAUUUUUCUUAUAUAGAGUUUGUACACAAAUAUAUAUAAGCCCUAAAAUACAUCGAGUGAGAUGGAAUGAAAACAAAUAAAAUUAUUUUUUUUAUAUAAAUAUUUUAAUACAUAUAUAUUGUGUCCGUGACCUGCUGACACAUGGCCAUGUCACCAUUAUAUUUAUCUAAACCACAUGUUACACAGUAGAACCCACUAGAGGGAUAGAAUCUAGUGGGGAUUUGUCAUUGUGACGUGGCUAUGGACUGCCACACAUAACGUGUUCUACAUGUGCUAUUAUCAUAGACGAUGAUGCAUGAAGAAGAAGUUGUGGGAAAAUUGAGCUUCUUUGAGAUUUCAGCCCAAGGAAUUGAUGCUGUUAAAGAUGUUCCUGAUGAUAUGCUUGCAGGAUUCGAUCUCGUAAAGCAAUAUAACCUGGGCCUAUUGCUAGCUAGGAAUUAUGGGGCCUUCUGUUGAGGGUAGGCCAUGUUUCCCUUGAAUCCAUUGUUUAUGGCAUCAUUGUCCAUGAAAAAGUGGGGAAAGCAAUUGAACUCGGGCCAUGUUCAAAUAGGCUUCUAUAUAAUCAUGCAUUAACCAGACUUUAGGAGCUAAGAGUUGCAAAUAAUAUAUCAAGUGGCAUUCUAAUCUGGCUUGAAGGCUAAACCAAUGUUUUGGACAAACUUAUGAUCCUUAUGUGCGAUCCUCUUAUUUGUAAAGUAGCACGCGAAUUAUGCUUAUAAAUUGUAGAUGAUCUUGACCUACCUAACUAGCUCCUAUUUGCACUCCAUCCAAAAUUGUAGAUCAAAGAAUUCUUUUUUAACAUCAUUAUUUCUAUCAUUUUCAGAUUAGGCUUUUUUCAGUCGGUAUGCAAACCUUAGUCAAUUUGGAACAUGACUAGAUUGUCAUUCGUUGUAAAAUUUCAUCCUAAUCCCUAGGAGUCCAUCUUUUCGUGGCAAGUACUAUGGAUAGACCAGAUCUACCAGUACAAAAGGAAGGUUCUUCUGAAUGUCACGCAAGAACUUGAUAUAUUUCGAGAAAAAAAAAGAGAGAAGUGACUUGCCAACGGGGACCAUGACACCAUGUCCAUGUGAGAUGUUUACCAAUUCGAAUAUCAUUAGUCUUAUCAACAAGCCUAGAUAUUUUGGCCACAAAUCCCCAAUCAUCACUAGUAUAUACAGGCUGUCAAAAAUCUUGGAACAUCCAAAUCAUCCAAUCAACCAAGUUUUUAUGCCAACUUGCCGAGUCCUCCAAGCGAUCAACCUGGACCUAUCAGUUUGGACGCAAUCAGCUGGAUCGGGAUUCAGGAAUGACCUCACUCGAUCUAAUUGACUAGGACCAGUUCCAAAUAGUUCGAAGCUAAAAAAGUCAAUAUAUGACUAGGCUAGUUAUAAGUCACUUGGGUGCAAGAAUUGUUAUGAUUUUUUUUUUGGUAAAAAAGCACAAAAAACUUACCUCGACAUAUUUGAACAAUAACAAUGCCUGUUUCAGAGCAUUAUUAGUUCAUAAGAAAAUUAAAAGCAUCAUUAGAACAAUAAUAAUGCGUGCGAUCAAUCCACCCUUACGGUGAGCCCUGCUUCUAAUCUUCACAGGUUCCGACGUUCCGUGCAGCAAACAGGAAAAGAUUUCAUGCCGCUGCUGCAAGCGGGCUUUGCCGUGAUUUCUGGAGAAGCUCAACCUUCCAGAGUUCCAGCUCCAGAAGCAUUUGACUGGCUUAUAAACACUUCACACCGAGUCAAAAAUCAAAUUAAACAGAUAAAGCUGGAUCCAGAGGAAAGCUAAUUGAGGUCCAGGCUGUGUCGCACCCGGGCAGCAUCCCUGAGCAUCGUAUUCCUGCUUGCUAGCCAGGACAAAAUAGUAACAGGAGCCUCCGGACUCGAUAAUAUUCUGAGAAGCUGCCCAAUUUCUUACUACUUUUCCCUUCUGUUUUUUGGCAGGCUUCCUUUUUAACCGCUUUCGCUCUACUCUCCUACAUAUCAUAGAAUCUCUGGGCCUCGUCCUCCGUAUCUUUGAAGACCCACAUGUCUGCCCCAGAACGACCUCCGCAAACCAGAAGCCAGGAUUUUCUCACCUGCUCCCCAAAGAUCUCCUCCCCCAUCUUUUCAUGAGAAUAUCUUGUAUAUAAUGACUCCCACCCCCUCCCUCUCUUUCUCAACUUCAAUCACCAUUCUUACCACCCCCCUCUCCUUUAUAGCCAGUUAGUGAAAUGGCCUGGCUAAGGACCGGCUCCAUCUCAUCCUUCCUUAUAGUCAUCUUCCUCGUAAUUACUAGCCUUAUGUCCAUAGUCAGCCAAAUCGGGCCCUGGCCUGGGGCCCUGCCCCAAGACCUUGUUGCCAUCGACCUCGCCGCGAAGCUCCGUCUGGACUCCCAUGCUACUGCUCUAGUCUCUACCGACUUCGGCGGCCUCACCCAGGUCGCCCCCGCCGCUGUUUUCUACCCGUCGUCGCCCCACGACAUUGCCGUCCUGGUGCAAUUCUCCUACUCCUCGUCCCGGCCCUUCACCGUAGCCCCCCGAGGCCACGGCCACUCCAUCAGGGGCCAGGCCUUUGCUCCUGAUGGAGUGGUCAUAGACAUGCCAUCGCUCGGCCGCGGACGCGCCGAUCGGAUCAUCGUGCACUCGGAUGACUCCUCAUUUCGGUACGUCGAUGCCGGCGGCGAGCAGCUAUGGAUCGACGUGCUGCAUGCAGCGUUGGAACACGGGCUUUCGCCGCCCUCAUGGACCGAUUACCUCUACUUGACCGUCGGCGGCACCCUCUCUAAUGCCGGCGUGAGCGGCCAGGCUUUCCGACACGGCCCGCAGAUCUCCAAUGUGUAUGAAUUGGACGUCAUCACCGGUACUGAACCUACCAACUUAUGAAUCAAGUGUUGAGAUAUGUGUGAAGAAAAUAUAACAAAAUGCUUUAGUAACUCAUUAAGAUGGAAUUGCUGGACUGCAUGUGGAACAGGGAAGGGGGAGAUGGUCACAUGUUCCAGGGACUACAACUCGGAGCUCUUCUACGCCGUGUUAGGAGGGCUGGGCCAGUUCGGGAUCAUCACCCGGGCUCGGAUCGCCUUGGAGCCCGCGCCCCAGAGGGUUCGCUGGGUUCGGUUGAUAUACGAUGAUUUCGGGGCGUUCACGAGGGACCAGGAGCGCCUCAUAGCGAUAUCUGCAUCCUGGGAGAGCAAGAAGAAAGGAGGGGGUUUCGACUACGUGGAGGGAUCGGUUCUGGCGGCGGAUGGAAGUCCUAUCGGGAGCUGGAGGUCGUCUUCCUUCGCGGGGUGGGACGCCGAGAGGAUCGCCAGGCUCGGAGCGCAGCACGGCGUCAUCUACUGCUUGGAAGGGGCCAUGUACUACGACUCGGUCAGGGCAUCACGUUCGUGGGUGGUGGUGGAUGAAGGUAAAAAAAAAAAAGUACCGACUAGUUUGCCGGUUCCUAUUUGUACCAAAAAAUUAUAUCCUACACUGCAUGCACCACAUGGCCAUGCAUGACGCGAAUAACAACCCCUUGUUUCUGCAUGCACCACCAUGUGCAUCGGAAACGAGUGGCUGUGAUUAUUAGUUAGGACCCACAUGCUUUUACUCCAAACAUUCUUGAUCCAGCAAAAUUUUUAGUUGGAUCACAUCCGCUAUUGACCUGAUGGGCUAAUCCAACCAAAAAGCAACACGGCCAUGACUUUCUUUUACGUGGCCGUGUACGCCACCAAUAACAACCGCUUGUUCUUGCAUGCACCAUCAUGUGCAUUGUUGCAAAAAUGAGUGGCUGUAAUUAUCAGCGUGCAGAACCAUGUGGUGCACAACGUCUACGAUAUAAUUUAUCCUUGUAUCCAUGAUCGUAUCUUUCGUAGGGCCCAUAUGCUUCUACUUCAAACAUCCUUGAUCUAGCAAAAUUUUUAGGUCGAUCAAAUCUACUAUUGAGUGGGUGGAUCAAUCCAACCAAAAAGCAACAUGAACCUGGCUUCCUUUUUCCUCUUUAUUCUUCUUUGUGUGUGUUUGGCCAUGUUGCUUUCUAGUGGGACUGCUCCACCGGCUCAACGAUGGAUCUGAUCUAACCAAUAUUUUUUUCUUAAUUUGUGUCUCUGCCACACCCCAAGCAAAAAGUGUGCGGUCUCCUUUAAUCAGACUUCUAAUAGCAAUAUAGUAAAAAUAGAUUCAUGUGAAGCUCCUCCUUUAAAAACAUUUACAACCUCUACGUUUACAUCUGGUAAGAAGACUGGUGACUCAUCUCUCUUUUUAUAAUCUUAAUUUGUUAGGUUUGACUCGAGCCGUUGGUAAACAUAUCUAUGGUUAGCUGGAUGGUAGGCCCACGUUUGACAAAGCAACAAACCAAGCCCAAGCUUCUAAAUGUUUAGAUUUUGACUCCUAAUGGAGCCAGGACCAGACAGUGUCGAUUAGCUAGUUGUCGAUACGGAAAGCUAGGUGUCACUUGGAUAUAUAAUAGGCUCCUUCAAGUUGCAUCAUCAUGAAACAAUAACCACAUCUCACGUUUGUGAUUAAGUUGGGCUUAAGAUGUGGUGCUCAUUCCGUUUAACAACCCAAGCCUGAGCAGCCAAUGUUUUUCACGUCUCAGCUUAUUCUCAGACGGUCCUCCAGAAAUAGUCUCACAUCGUACGUGUUUGAGCCAUUCUCAUGAAUACUAACCUGCAUGUCACACUGUUUUUGUUCAUAACCUUCAUAUAUUCGAUCAUUUGCAUUAGUAGUGUAGUUUACUUUUUCAAUCCGUUGUUAGUACAUCAGCUUUCAUUUUGGAGUACCUUCUCAUAGGUACAAGUGCAAUAAAACUGUUGUAUUCAGAACCAUUUUUGGCCUUAUAGGAAGGCCUGUCCUGAAGUCUUUUAAUAGAUCGACACUGAUCUUUGAGACUUGAGGUUGUUAAAUAAGCUGUAAAAGCAUGAACGAAUAGUUGGUUGGAUUGUCCUUGGUCCGUUCAUUGGAUGCGUGUGAACAAAGAAGUGUUUGACCUAUUCGAAGGCAAAAAAAAAAAGGAAAGUGUUGACCUUGUAUUCUAGUUUGUGUGCAAGCAUAGAGUAUUGACUUUUGGCAUUUUCUGUAGUUUUUCCAAGCUGCUGACAAUUUGGACCUACUGACAGGAGCUUGAAUUGUUGCUUGAAGAGCUAAGCUUUGUCCCAGGGUUUGCGUUCACAAACGAUGUCUCCUAUGAGCGAUUUCUAGAUAGAGUUCAUGAUGGGGAGUUGAAACUCCGUUCGAUGGGCCUCUGGGAUGUUCCUCACCCAUGGCUUAAUAUAUUUUUACCCAAGUCUGGAAUACAGGAUUUUAAUAGUGGAGUCUUCAAGAAGAUACUGAAGCACAACGAGUCAACGGGCCCAAUUCUGUUCUAUCCUCUGAACAAGAACAAGUACGUAAACUAUUCAAUUCAUUAAUGAUCCAUGGAUGAAUUAUAAUAUUGUUGGCUAAUUAUACGGAUGCAUGUGUUACAGGUGGGACGAGAGGAUGUCGUCCGUGAUCCCUGACGAAGAGAUCUUUUAUUCCAUAGGUUUGCUAUGGUCUGCGAUAAUGGAUGAUUGGGAGUACUUGGAGAAUCUAAACAUGGAGAUCAUACAGUUCUGCGAUCAGAAAGGCAUCAAAUAUAAACAGUACUUGCCUCAUUAUUUAUCUCAGGAGGAUUGGAUGAAGCACUUCGGUCCCAGAUGGGACAAGUUCGUCGAGAUGAAGAGGAAGUAUGAUCCUAAAGCACUCUUAUCUCCAGGGCAGAAAAUAUUUACAACCUCGCUCGUGGACCAUGCCACCAAUUAGCAGUGUCGUGGCAGAUUAGUUAAUCCAAAUCAAGGCUUCAUAUAUAGAAAAAAAUUAGCCGACAUCUAUCAAUAUCUUGUACAAAUUGCUUAUGAUUUGUUAAAGCGUCUUUUAAUUAACAUUCAGUAUCUGGAGCAGAAGAGGUUCUUUAGAAAAAGAAUCAAAUCUCUAUGGAAAUUUUGUAAUUUUUCUUAGUUCCUCCAUUAGCGCUCUUGUGCACCAUGCAUGUUGAUAUAUCUAACGCGAGGCUGGUGGACUGUCUGUUUAAAGUGCAGCUUUUUUUAUUUUUUUGCUAAAAACGAAAGUAUUAUAUAUAAUAAGUACCGUUAUAAUUAAAAUAAUUAAAAAAUAGCAUAUUAUGAAUUGCACCGAAUAAUUAUUUUUUAUUUAAAAAUAUUUUUUAAGUGGUUGGUAAUGAAAGAGGCCAUCCAACCUAUGGUGUUAUUGGUUCCUUUGAAUAUGUGCUCUGCCGGUGAGGCUUCGGCAGCUCUGAAAGGUGGCGUCAACGGACAAUAUACGUCAUCGUAAAGAUUUCUAACGUUAGGACGAAGGCAUUGGGUGGACGUGAGUGCGGACGACUUCCUUUGUCAAUGUCCUUGCUCGAACUACUUGACCCUACAAGGGGGAUGAUGAGUUGAUGACCGGAAUGGCAAGACUUGCGAGAUUUCCAUCACGUCAUGGGCCACCCUUCACAUCAUUGUGAUUGGGCAAAACAUUGAGGCAGAUCUGGGAAGGACACUAUAAAGAUUCGCAGAUACAUCAAUAGACUGUUCUACGUUUGAAGGAGGACAAGAGUUACGGUGGCCGGAUACUCAGGUGGUACGUCAGUCAGUCGUUGUAUGAUUGGAAACUCGACGGAAGUUACCAUGGCUCGAUGAUCACGUUGUUGGUCAUGUCAUCGCUGCAAUUACAAAGAGCAAGGAGAAAAAGGUUCCUAGAUUGUUCUGCUCAGACUUUGCUCAUCUUUGGUUCCCAAAAAAAUCAAAAUGUUGUUCUUGUGAUUUAGAUUAAUCAUAGUAGGCGAUUUUGAGUUAUAACUAUUCUGAGGCACUUUGUCUUGAAUGAAAUGGGACUCUUUGAGAUGUGUCCCCAUAGCAAAAUGUUGGUACUAUACUUCUUUUUUUUAAUCUUUAGUCUUAUAAAAGUACUCAAAAUCUUUCUAGUAAAUAAUCGAUGUGGGAUCAAACACACUUAUACAGAUUCUUACAUACUUCCCCUAUUUAAGCUCCGAUGUUCUCGUUAGGCUCAAAGUUAAAAUUUAUUCAAAUCUACUCACAAGCACUACAAUCAGCCUCAAUAAACUCGUGCUGCAAUAUUUUCUAGUCCACAUGGACUAUGAGCUGGAUCCGCUCUGAUAUCACUUGUAAUAAUACAGGACUUCAUCCAAAAAGAUUAGUCGGAAUGUAUUUUUUGGAUUCGUUAGUUCUAUAUAAGUACCUAAUAUUUUUUCAAUGAAUUACCGAUGUAAAACUAAACACAUAUUUGCACGGAUCCUCAUAGUUUAUUAUGAGAAAUAAUACCCAACAUCUGGUAUACCACCUCAACGGCACGCCAAGUCAAUCCAUUUUCCCUGUGAUAGGAACCCCUUUGGGAGGCCAAGAUCAUGAUCUCACUACUCGCGAGAUCAGGGAAAAAAAAGGACCUCCUCUCUAACCUCCUCAACUACAAUCUUACCCUCUGGGAGGUCAAGAGUGCAAUCUUGCAUGCUCGCGAGAUCUGCAAAAAAAAAAAAGGGACCUUAUUUUUGACCACCUCGAUCACGAUCUCACUCUCCAGCGGACAAAAAUUCACUAGCCCGCUUGUGUGAGAAACUCCCAUGCCACCUAUGAGGAUGCCGACUCUCUCCACCUCGUCCUUCCGCUAAUGGAGGCCAUUGCCACCGGCUGGGGAUCACCCAUCGAGUCGUGAAGAGGGAUUCCCAUCAUAAAGCGCUCCGAUUCAAACUCAUCUCGAAUUAGUGUUCGAGAAAAAGUUGCACCAGAGAGGAUUCAAACUAAUCUUAAAUUAGUGUUCCAGCAGCAUAGUUUCCUUAUAUGUACAGCAAAUUUUGAAGUUUUAGAAUUUGAGGAACCUACUUUGGACUUCAAGAUAGGUUUAUGCCGAGCUGAUCAUGAUUUAUGCCGAGCAGAUCAUGAGCCGAGCUUCGGGUCUGAACUAUUUAAAAUUGAACAUCUUCCAUGCCCAAGCCCUGAUCAUGAUCAGCUCCAGACUUCAUGGUGAGGCUGUAAGACGCCAAAAUCUUGCAUCCAAAUCGCACCUUAUUUGUUACUACCGGUGUAGUACGAUACAAUGUUCCCUCUGGGAGACAAAUUUACUACCGCUCUGGGUCGUUACCACCUCCUCCUGACCCCGCCACCGUCCCGUCUCCUCCUUCCAUUCUCCUCCAUCUCCCAUCCCCGCCAUCCCACCGAACUCGAGUCCUCCCUCGACUUUCUUCUUCAGCAAUGCGCGACCCCUCGUCAAGCCAAGCAAAUCCACGCCCAGCUCCUCACCUCCUCCGCCUUCCACCAUCCCGACUCCGCCUACCUCUUCGCGCGGCUCGUCUCCGUCUACGGCCGCCUCGGCCUCCUCCCUGACGCCCGCUCCGUCUUCCGCGCCGCCCACGACCGCCGCUCCUCCCUCCUCUGGAACUCCAUCCUCCGCGCCAACCUCGCCCACAGCCAUUCCCUCGAAACUCUCUGCCUCUACAACGAAAUGCGUGCCCUCGGCGCCCUCCCGGACGGUUUCACCUUCCCUCUAGUUAUCAGGGCCUGCGCCGCCCUCGGCGUCCCCAGACUGUGUGGUCCUGUCCACAACCACGCUGUCUCUAUGGGCUUCCAGUGGCAUCUCCACGUUGCCAACGAACUGAUGGUGAUGUACGGCAACAUCGGGAGGAUGGACCUGGCCCGCCGAGUGUUCGACGCGAUGCCUCUCAGAAAUGUCGUCUCUUGGAACACUUUGAUUUCUGGCUACUCGCGGAAUUAUGAUUCUGAGGCAGCACACGAUGCAUUCCGAUUGAUGGAAUUCACGGGGUUUGAGCCGAACCCUGUCACAUGGACGGCACUGCUGUCGGCCCAUGCCCGGUGCCAGCGGCACGAUGAAGUUAUCGGAUUGUUUGAUAAGAUGAGGACGAAAGGAGGUAAAGCCACAGCACAAGCUGUUGCGGUGGCUCUAUCCGUUUACCCUUACGCGAGCAGCGCGUCAUUGCAGAAGGGCAAGGAGAUGCACAGCUAUGCUAUCAGGAGUGGCUUCGAAUGGUACUCUUUUGUUAAAAAUUCGCUCAUCUGCAUGUAUGGGAAGCUUGGGUAUAGAGAGGAUGCCGAGAGGCUAUUUUUGGAGACAACAGUGAAGGAUUUAGUCAGCUGGAAUGCGUUGAUUUCUAGCUAUGCGGCUGCUGGUUUGUGCGGCGAAGCUUAUGAGAUCUUCUCACGAAUGGAGAAAACCGGGGAAUUCAGACCCAACGUGGUAAGUUGGAGUGCAGUGAUUGGAGUGUUUGCAUCAGGCGGGAUGGUGGAGCAAUCGCUGGACCUCUUUCGGCAGAUGCAGCAAGCUGGUGUAGCACCCAAUUCGAUCACAGCUGCCACUGUUCUAGCUGCAUGCGCAGAGUUAUCGUCAUUGCGCUUGGGUAAAGAGAUUCAUGGCCACGCCAUUCGAGGCUUAAUGGAUCAUAAUUUGUUGGUAGCAAAUGGACUUCUCAAUAUGUACACCAAAAGUGGGAGCCUGAGAGAAGGGCAGUCGGUGUUCAAUAGAAUGGAAGACAAGGAUUUGAUCUCAUGGAACUCGAUGAUUGCUGGUUAUGGGAUACAUGGAUUCUGCGAUGAAGCUCUUGGCACAUUCAGUGACAUGGUGAGAGCUGGUUGUGAGCCGGAUGGGAUCACCUUCAUUGCCGUUCUGUCUGCGUGCAGUCGCUCAGGGCAUGUCUCUCAAGGCCGUCGCUUGUUCGUUCAGAUGGUUGACGAGUAUAAGAUCCAGCCAUGCAUGGAGCAUUACUCAUGCAUGGUGGACCUUCUUGGGCGUGCAGGAUUGCUACGAGAAGCAAGUCAGCUCAUGGAGUGUAUGCCGGUGAAGCCCAAUGCUUGUGUUUGGGGGGCCUUGCUGAACUCUUGCAGGAUAUAUGGGAACACGGCAACAGCUGAAGAUACAAUGGCACAAGUUUUGGGGCUCGAAGGGCAGGCUACAGGGAACUACAUGCUUCUUUCUAAUAUAUAUGCUGCGUGUGGGAGGUGGGAGGACUCAGCAAGGGUAAGAGUGAUGACAAAGGUGAAAGGUUUGAAGAAAAGUCCUGGGCAGAGUUGGAUUGAGGUGAAGAAUAAUGUGUAUGUGUUCUCGGCAGGAAGUUCAUUGCCACCUGGUGCAGAGGACGUUUAUGAAGUUCUCGAGGAUUUGUAUCGGCAUAUGGAGAGUGAUGAGUUUGCAUUGGACUGGCCUUUGUUGCAAUGCAAAUUGUAGUCAAGGGAGAUUGGGCAGUGGACUAAAGUCUCUGCCUACAAUUGAUGUCCAUUUUUUUUAAGGCAGAUGAGUUUUUUGUGCUGUGGUUGGCACAUGGCAAGAGACUUCACCGUGCCAAUUAUACAAUGGUUUUCAGAAACAGGUUGGGUUCUCGCAGAAACAAAUUGGCAGAAUCCUUUUGGUGCAUUAACCAUGGGAUCAGUCAAUUUGAGAAUAAUGCUGAGUUCACUUUGGAGGCAUUGGAGAAUUCCAGCUUAAGAUUUUAUUUCAAUUCCUGGAGAAAUGCCAUUGCCUUGUGUCUUUUAACAUUGAGAUGUGGAUUGGUGGGGGAUCUUAGUAGAGACCAGCAGAAAAAUUACAUAACUUAAGCUAGUAGUGAUGACCUGGGAGAAGAAGAAAGGCCGGUGGGAUUUCAGUGUCCUGGGUCAACACAAACCUGCACAAGGCUAUUCAUCCAUCUUCCUUGUCGGUGCCACAUUCUGAAAAAAUAUUAAGAUUGCCAAGGUGCAAUUUAAGAUAAUAAAAUGCCCUUGAAAUUGUCAACCUUUGGACCUAAAGCAGUUGAGGAAAUUUUGCUCCGCACCAUCUGACCAUAUCAAAGCCAACCUAACUGGCACCAAACCUCUAACCAUGUCAAACAGAAGUAAUAACCAUGUCUACGUUGACAAAAGGCAGAACAAGACGGUAUCAUCGCCCCAUGAACUUGGUGAUGAUAUUCUGAGACUGAAUGGUGUACCACCAAAAACAACAAUGAUCAAAAGGCGUUGAUCAUCCUGUUCAACACAGUUGUUUAAAGGCAAUGUUAGGUGCUAGUUCUACAGCAGGAUGCAUACUUCAGUAAAUAUUCAAUACGCCCCAUCACACGGGGCCAAGCCAUUCACCAUACAUGAGGUCCUGCGUGCCAAACAAAGUCGUCAUUCACUACAGGUCUUUGUCCAAAAUAUACCACCACAGAAGAGAAACUUGUUUUUGCUCGCGACUUGCGUCAUUUUCUCGGUAUGCAUUCUUCAGCAUUUUAACAUGGUUAUGCGAGAAUGAGCACAGGUUCAUGGGCUACGUGCUUAUUAAAAUGGCCAGACCAUCUAUGCCAAGUUUAAACAACAUUAGGCUAUAGUGAUUGAUUCUUCGGCGGUGGCGGUAACCUCUCCUGCACCUGCAAAUCAGAUAAUAUAGAGGAACAACAUCAGAGAGCUGAAGAUAAUUAGCCUUGGAGACAAAUCUGCAUCUCACCGAUUCCUAGAUCACCAAACACUAGCAGAUAAAAUAAGGGGAAACUUCUUUUAGGCUGCCUACUUCGGCAAUCAACUUGAUGUACAUCAUCCAUUUAAUGCACGUUAGGCAAGUAGAUUGUCCUGCCUCUAUAAGAAAGUAGUCAGCUAUAUGACAAGAACAUCAUUAGAAUGGUCCACAAAACAACUAGCAUUCCAGACAAUCCAUAAUUAAUGAUUGUUGUAUGAUAUUCUGUCUCCAAAUAAAGGAUUUAACUUUCUUUCAUGCCGAUUCAACAAGGUCUCUGGUUAGUCUAAGUAAUAAGUAACACACUAUGGAUUCAACCAACCCUAUGAUGUAAACUCUAAAUUUUUUUUAUGCUGUGCUUAAAAUACGUGCUGAUUGCAGAAGAUGUUGUGCAAGCAAUUAAAUAAGAAGAUUAUCUGUUUCCUGCAUAGAGGACCGCAAAGGUUUAGAAAACCAAAUUCUGAAAUUGGCAAUACAUGCUGGCAAAGUAGAGGUAAUUUUCCCCAUUAAACUUUUGAUCUUGAAGGUCUGUAAAAUAAGUCUGAUGGAUUUCCAUUAAAUAAGGCUAGUGAAACCUCAAGUAGGGAUUUUGUUAUGCUGUGGCCCUCCCUUGUCUAUGGCCCUUGAUAGGGACAUAAGGAAACUGAGAUUUGCAAAGCCAACCUCAGAUAACGAGCAUAUCACUGAUUAUGAUAAUUCAUGAGGAGCUCGCCCUCUACUUGAAAACUCACUCUAAAACAAAUUGUGUCCUAACUAUAUGGGCAAAAGUACCUAGUACAAGCAUGCCGUUUGGGGGUGAAGAAAAUUAUAAACAACACUAUGAAAAAACAUUGAUAGGCCUUAUUAUUCAUGGGCAGUACUUAUUACAUAAUACAGGACAGUGCAACUUAGGAUAAAGAGAGAGCAAAUUAUGGAACUGGUACAAUAUAUUUAGCUUACAACGAAAAUGACCCUUCAGGACAACACUAUUUUGGGAAUUGAGCUCUAGUAGGCCUCAAAUUCUAAUACUCUAUUUGCAUAUGUAUUUACAUAUAAAUAUGCAUCACAUAUAUAAUGUUGCACAAUCUUUUUAUAAAUGACCCAUGGAUGUAAGAACCUGCUAAGAAAUCAGAUAGAACUGAAGAAAAUACAAACAACAGAAAGUGCUAAACAAGUAACACAAAAGUCUUCGUUCAAAACUUUCAAGUCCUUUUUAUCUUAUCUUGGUGCCAUGUUCAUUGAUAUCAAUUAAUUUGCUAUGAACUAACCAUCAGCGCUGCCAGAAUUUGCUUCUUUCUCUCUCUAUCUCCCUAUGUGUGUGUGUAUUUGUUUCUUCUCCCAAUUUCAUCAUGUAAGGAUAUUCCUGCCAUCAAAUAGCUAUAGAAAAGGCAACAAGCUCAAUGAUCAUCUUAUCCUUAAACCCAACAUUUUCUCCUUGGAUUUGCAUUUUGGGUGUUAUCCUGGACAUUGUUAGAGCACGUGUUUAACAUCAGGUAGUCUCAAAUGGUUUGUUUUUGACUAUACAGCCUUUGGGCCUGGAUGGAGACUACUUGAUCUAGAAGUCUCCUCUGAGGUGGUAGACCUUGAUCAAGUCUCUUCAAAGAUUGAUGAAUGUAUGUCUAUUACUUUCAAAUCUGGAUAAUUACUCAGAUUACCACCGUUUUAUCUAAGAGGUUGUUCAGUUGCUUAUAUGCAAAAUAAUUUCUACCUCAAGCUUAUAAUGACUCAACAUGUCUACAUAACCUAGACACUAAAAGAAAAAAAUACACGUAUACAGAUCAAAUGAAAGAACAUGUGCAACUUUUGUUAAAAGGAAUUCCUUUCCACAAAGAAGAUAACUGCAUUGGUUAUUCUGUCUUGCCCAAUUUUCUAAGUGCUCAACAUAUGCAUGUUUUAUUAAGAAAAGAAUGCCUAAUUAUGUUAUAUUACUCUUCUCAAAACUUUCUUUCUGCUUCUGCCAAUCCAAACAAUAGCAAACUUGAGAUCCGAAUGAAAAUAACUAUAUCAUGGGUUAUAUGGCUAUAUGAAUGUCCUUGACUGUGAGAGGGAUAUAAGAUUAAUAUGACAUAUAAAACAGGUGGUGAAAGUAGAGAUAGAUACAUAAAGGGCAUUUGGACAGGUAGGUACCAGUUAUCCCUAGUAUGAUCACAGUGCAUUGCAAUUGCCUCUAAACCAAGUGAGGGUGUAGUAGGCCAUAGGUCAGGAGAAGAGGAGAAAGGCACCCUAUUCUCAAAGAAUUUGACUAAAUAGGAAGUGGUCUUUCUCCUUAGUCUUGUAAAAAAAGUUAGGGUGGAGGGAGGAGCAGAGGAUAAAAAUAUUUGAAACUGGUAUUCUACAAUCCACUCAUGAAAGAUCAUUGCUUUAUAGAUUAGUGAUGAAAAGUAGUGAAACUGAUAGGAAAUGCUCCAAUUAGUGGAUUACACAUGUGCGAAGAGUAUUGAGAUGCUUCUAUCUAUCGCAUUAGAAGCUCAUGAACACAACAAUGGGAAACUCGCCCACAUAAAUGAACAAAGAAGUCCUGCUGGUUAUAGGCGAGAAAACACUUGUUUAGCAGGCCACAUGUCCAAAUAUCUAAAAAUUAUUAACCAAUAGAUAAACCCACCACCUCUGAUCAUAAAAAAAAACAAAACAAAAAAAAACAAAAAAAAGGACAGAGAGAAGGGGGCUCCAAAUUUAUAGCUGGUUUUUGGGGGAGAAGGUCAAAACACCCUUCCCCUUUCAUCUGAAGGGCCAGCCCCAUGGGGGAAAAAAAAACUUUGCUUUGAGAGGUGAUGAAAAUGGGGGCAAGGAUUUAGAACUAUGUAAAGUGAGAAGUGCUUUGAUCAAUGUGAAGAGAGGUGAAACACAGGACCAUAACAUGUGCUAGAACCCGGCCACAAGCCAAGCUUGGACCAGUAAACCAAGGGUUCAAGAUGAGUUAUUGGUAAGCAUGGAUGUGGUUAUUGAUGGCAUUAUUAAUGGCAAGAUGUUGGAAGUCAAACCAAUAAGGGUUUCCACGAGAAGAGAACUUAGGCUAAGGUGGCUCAAGGAGCAAGCAAGUAUGUUUUAAGAGACAUGGAAGGUUUCCAAGGAGGAAACCACUAGCCUCUAGGAGACUUUUCUAAUGUUCUAGUUCUUCUCAAGGACAGUGGUGAGGAGUCUAGGAAGGAAUGGGACACUAGGGCCCUUGUUGGCAAGAGCCUUGGUCAUUGGCUAUCGAUUGAUUAUGUGAGACGAAUGGAGAGAUCGAAGAUAGGCAAUACGAUUAAGCUCUCUCCCUAGUGGAUGGUAUCCACCUAUUUUAAUUCAAAACAGAGGAGAGAAACACGGUGCUUCUGGAAGGUCCUUGGACCAUCACUAGCCAACUCUUGGCCCUUGAACCAUGGCCUCCUGAUUUCAUCCCAGAGGUUGAUGCAAUCUAGCAUGUGGCUGUUUAGAUAAGGUUACCAAAACUUUCUAUCAAGCAUUGGUAUCGAUCUCUUGUUCAUUGUAUUGCCACUACUAUCAAUCAAUUGCUACUUGCACAGAUCUUCUGGCAAGGUUGGGUAUGUGAUGGUUUAUGUUCAAGUGGACCUUUCCUAGUCCUUGCAACUAGGACCGCAAAUCCGAGAUGAGCACUGGAGCUUUUGGCAACUCAACAUUUACAAGAAUAUUAUCGCUUGUUUCGGAUGUGGCCUAAUUGGCCAUCUUGAUCUUGCAUGCACUUUUCCAGAUCGGUGGUCAACAAGUUAUCAGCCUAUUGUAGGAGCCCUCACCCUUGGCAUCCUCAAGAUUAGCUUUGACUAGUCCAUUAAAGUAGCAAGUGUUGUGACACGGAACCCAUCAUUAGCAAUCAUAUUGGCAAGCUUCUUGCUAUUGGGGGUAGCUUUCAGCAGGACUCUAGGUCCUCCAAACUGAAAUUCAAGCAGAGCUUGGGUGGGGAUCACCUUUGCUGCGAUGCACCACCAAGCUGAUAAAAUUUGGCUAAAAGGCAAAUCCUCCACCGUAAUUUCCUAGAUCAAGCCCAUCAGCUACCAUGGACCCUAUCCCUUUGUUCCUUCACAUCUUUUAUCUCACUUGGCGUCUCGAACUUCAAAUGUUCUCAUACUUAUCGAGAAGUUAAUCAAUGGCUGACUGGAUUGCCAAUCUUGUAGCCGACAAUGCUGUCUUAUCUUUUACCUCUUCUACUGGGUUAUAUUUGCUCUCAUCUAUAUAAGUUCCCUAGUCGACUGGACUGGAGGGAAAUGAAGCAUCUCAGAGAAGUAAAAAAACUAAAAAUCACUCCUCGGCACGCUGUAUCUUUGACGGUGUUAGAUAGUAUCCAGAUUAAUAAAAUUAAACAAAAAUCCUUUCUUGCAUGAUAGUUUUCAAGGGUAUCAUAUAGAAGAGGUGUGCGGACAACCAAAUUAAUAUUUUUUUUUAAAAAAAAAAUCACUUCUGGCAGCAAUGCUGCAUUGGUAGGGCUUUAGAUUGAAGGAUAUGUGGGAUACAAGAUCAAUAUUAUGGAACGAAAAAAAAAGGCAUCUUGGCUUGCUAUUUUGAGGGUCUCGGAUAGAAGGGAUACGUAGAUCACCAGAUUAACAAAAUCAAAAUAAAAUUCACAGAAAGGGCAAGUGGAGUAACAAACAAAUCUGUAAAACUAGACAAUAAACGUUUUUGUGUUGUUGUUUUGUACGAUAGUCUUCUACUAGGGUUUAGAUAGAACAAGGGUGUCCGAGUGUGUCAGGUGGAUACCUUGGUCGUCAGCGGCGGCGGGGUCAUCCUCGCCGUAGAUGGCGCGGAGGCGUGCGAGAGAAAUGGGGGCUUCGGAGGGAUCGCCCUCGGCGAGGCCGAAGAGAUGCUGGCGCCAAGCCCACAUGGCGGAGGCCAUGGCGGUGUUGGCGGAGCGGAGGGUCGUCUUCUCGGCCUCCAAGACCGCGAUCUCCUGCUGCUGCUUGAACGAGCGGACUCCGAGCGCCGCGAAAGUGCCCAAAAGGAGGAGGUGGAUCACGUUGUCCUUCUUCCCCACCACCCUCAGCACCGCCUCCAUCCUCUCCUCCCGCGGUCUUCCCUCUCGAUGUAUGUAUGAUGUAUGUCCGUUGCAAGCAUGUGCAUCAUGUGAUGUGAUGCGAUACAACAAAUGGGUCUCGACCUGGCUCAAUUAUGUUGUGGGUCCAGGAUUUGGUCUAACCGGUCAUUGGCUGGAUCUGACCGGUCUUCGGGCAAUUGGAAACCCCUCCCCGAUUAUAUGAACAGUUGUAUUGAAAAGAUCAUCGUUAUGCUAUAUUAGUGUUUGAUGGGAGGCAAAAUGGAUCGUCCUAUUCCAACACGGAGUCAUCCAAUUCCGGCCAAACAAAUAUCUGAACCAAGUAGGCCGAUGAGGCUUCCUCGACCGCGGGCGACAACCUCGACCAGAGCCUGACUGACCUCGGCUCCACCAAGAGCUAGAGUCGACCUUGCCUACCAAAGGCCAGAGCCGACCUUGGGUCCUACCUAAGACCGAGCCGACCUCAGCAAGAGGCGACCUCUGCUAGAGCCGACUUCGAGUCCUACCGAAGAUCGAACCGAUCUCGGCUAGAGGCCCAGCCGACCUCGGACCCCGCUAAAAGCCGAGCCGACCUCGCCAAGUAUAUGCCAAGGGCCAUAUCCUGCCACACCGGCCAAGGGCCAUACCCUGCCACACCUGCCAAGGGCCAUAUCCUGCCACACCGGCUAAGGGCCAUAGUCUGCCACAUCUGCCAAGGAUCAUACUAUGCUAUAUUUGCCAGGAGCCAUACCCUACCACACCUGGCCAAGACCAUUCCCUCUCAUGAUGAGGAUUAUCUAUACGGCAGCCACCUGGUUGCUCUUAUGAGGACUAUAAAUAGACCACAACAACAACACUCAGGAAGUUUUUUUCUUUUUCCUACAAAAAAGACUCCAAAAACUCUGAUAACUUAGCCAUUGGAGGGCUUUUGCCGAAAUCCUGGUGAAGGCUUUGUGCAGGUCUCCAGGAGCGCAGGAGGUGGCUCCCCUUCUUCGUCCCGGAGGCAGCUUCUCGUCUUCCUCCAACAUGGUCACCCUCAGGCCAAAUUUCAACCACAACAGUGUUAACUGUAGAAAAUAGUAGAAAAUAAUGGAAGAAUAACUGUAUUUAUCAUCAGAUUUCCUUUUGUUUAAUGCUUUUAGAAAAAUUAAUAUAAAAAAUUAAAUUAAAACAAAUAACACCUUGUCCGUGAUCCGCCCUUUGUGCAUCUAAUGGCCUUGGCCGGCCUUUGCAUCUAAAUUAGUGGUGGCAUGAGCCUUCAAGAAGGUGCGCUCUUUGUGGUGGUGACCAGCUUGACUCUUUCAUGGACAAACUGGUGAGGUCCAGCCGCACUACCAUGUAGGCAAAGUUUAUAAAUAUAAAUUCAUUUGAUUGGGCUAAAAAAUACCGAGUCCAAAUCCAAUCUAAUUUUAAAUUAGGCUCGAAAAUUGAGGUUGGUCUGGCCUGUCAAGCCAAAAAUCUUAUCCCAAGCUCAACAACAUUUGGCUCCAUAAGCCAAGCUAGUUUGGCUCAAAUAAAAUGCUAUUCGGGCAGCGGCCUCUAGAGAGUAAAAUAGACCGCAGAAGCCCUCCAAACAUAGAGAAGAGGAGAUAUAAAUAGCAAUAUCUUUUGGAUUUGCUUGUAGCUAUUCAAGUGAAUGAAGCUUUUAAUCAUUCAAAAUUAUUAAGAAGUAGAUAGACAGACAAGCNNNNNNNNNNNNNNNNNNNNNNNNNNNNNNNNUAGAGAGAGAUCACGAGGUGCUUAUGUCCAAUUCAUCUGACCUAGGUAGGAAAUUAAUCUUCUCUUGCUUAGCGCGCAAAAAACAGUAUCAUCUGAACUAUAAGAUUGGAUGGUUAAAAAGAAAAAUAUUGGCUAUAGACCUUCGUGUGCAGCAAAAAUUGCUAUCUAUAAAAGCAUAAAUGAUGAAGAAAGUCAAUGCAGCACUAGGAAAAGUCCUCACAGCAUCACUUAAUAAUAAAAUUGAACUUUUUGUGCCCUUUAAAAAGAAGAAAAAAAGUUCAAAUGGAGAGCUGCAUUUUCUAGCGAACAAAGUCCAACAUGUAACGCUUGACGCGCUGAUCUAACCGUGAGCCAUUCUUAAUGUUGUAAUGCUCCAAAGUUUGGUGGUCUUCCAGCUCAUGCUCUCCAAAUAUGAGAAUUUGUCGGUCCUUCGGUGUCCCCUCCACGUAGCACAUCGCUUCCUUGAUAUCGCUAAUGCUAGUAGAACUCAUCACCUCAAGCUCCAGUACCAUUGAGGUCCAUAACCUAACAUAUAUGGUGAACUCGAAUGCUUCUAUAGCUUGCUCAACACCUCUUUGAGAACUCUCUCUAGCACCAUUACACUUUGAGUUCGCAGCAUUAGCCAUCUACACGAGGAAAGAAUGAUAAUGAAGAUAAAAUAGAUGGAUAACUGUCAAAACAUAUGAUAUAAACUUAAGGCAUAAAUUUAUAUGGGAGUUCUGGUCUAAGCAUUGAAAACAGUUCAUUUUGAAGGGGAACCAAUGAAACCAAUUGGUGCAAUUUCAACCAACUGGCCUAUUGGCGAGGUAAAGUUUGGGGUCUGUGUGUUUUAAGAACGAAUUUAAGAUGCAUUUGGUUCAUGAUCGGAAUCAGAAUUGAUUGAAAUGAGAAUCGAAAUGACCAUAUUUUUUGACGUAUUUGGUUUGUAACUGAAAUCAAAAUCGAAAUUGGAAUAGGAUUUGAAUAUUAGAAGAAAGUUAGAAUAGACCGAAAAUAGAAUGAGAAUAGAGCUCAUUCCAACCGAAUGGAGGGUAUAGAAAUCUCUCAUUCUCAUUUCUAUUCCAGAGUCUAACUUCGACGAACCAAAUAUGCCCUCAAAUUUGUGAAAUUGCAGUUUAAAUCGGACAUGAUUUGCCCAAUCUACGUAGGCAAGCCAAAGGGGUUAAAAAAAAGCAUAAAUAUUUAACAAUCUAGUUAUGUUGUUUUGGAGUAAACCAUAAGGAUUCUAUUGAAGGUUGGAAACACAAAACCAACACCAUAUUCACAAAUAAAUAAAUAAAUAAAAUGCCAACAAAAAAUAUAUAAAAAAAAUUUACCGGAGAGAAAUAAGUACUAGGAAAGUAAAAUCUAUGGAUUUCUAAUGGACAAGGCCUAAGGUAUAUUUAGUUGCUAGAAAAUAUAUGGGAAAUAGAAAAAAAAAGUUAACAUUAAAAAUUAUUUUUUAAAAAAAUCACUUUUAAUAUUGGAAUCACUUUUAAAAAAUUACUUUUUUAAGAAAAAUAAAUUCUUCGCAUGAUUUUUCUUAGUAUAUGUUUGGUUGUUUGAAAAAGCUUUGGGAAAACUAAAGUUUUCGAGAAAAAACGAGUUUUCCGGCUAUUCUUAGAAGUGCAACAUCGUUUUCUUCUGCUCUGAUUUAUUCUACCAAUGCAAGAGGAAAAAGAAAACCUAAAAGAAGCAUAAGAUCGAGAACUAUAAGAUCAUUGUCGUACCUUCUUUGAUCGCUUUAAGACUUUUGCAAGUUGAUGGCGAUGAUCCUGGCGGAAUACAAUCAGGUACAAGUUGCCAACGAACGAAUAAAUAAAAUCCUAUCCCUGAUGUAGAAGCCGUUGAAAGAUUUUUUUUUUUUUUAUUGACUCCUGAGAGGCGAAGCCGCUGAGAGACGAACAGUGCAAACAGUACCCGAUUUUGAAGAGGGGAGGGGAGUUUUUACCAAGAAAAAAAGAAAAAAAAAGAGGGGAGGUGAGUAUUCGGUUUUGGUGGAUAUCUAGAUGUAAUCAAUUGGUGUCCUCCACGUCUACUAUCUUACAGGCUGUAAUCUUUGAAUCCAAAUUGAGAGAAAAACAUUAAAUCCACCGAAAUAAAUAGAACAUCGGUAAAAAGUUUCAAAGGCCAGAGAUAAAAACUUACCAAUUAUCACUUUUUUUUUGGUUAAUAAUAGAAUCUAGUCCUAAAAUUCCAUGCCUGAUAUGUUUAGAUCUAAUGAGGCUUGCUCCAUCUAUUUCCAAAUAUUUUGAAAGCAAUAGAAAAUCUUGAGGCUUUUCGCUAUUGAACUUCAUUUAUUAGAUUAAUCCAUGAUAUCCAAAACAUCGAACCGUCUAACAAACAAAUGAUUCAGUUAGCAUAAAGUGAUGUUACGGGGCGUCAGCUUUAUGCGCACAAACUUUCUUUCGGUCGCAUGGCUUAAAAGGAUUAAUGAGUGUCCCAANNNNNNNNNNNNNNNNNNNNUCUCUCUCUCUCCUCUCUCUCUCUCUCCUCAAUCAGGUAGCCUUUCGCUAGCCAUUACAGGCAUUUUUCAUUCAAUACGAUGAAAAUGGAAGAGAAUAUAAUGGGCGAAAUUGCAAAUAGCAUGGUUAUGAAAAAGUUCCCCAUAUUUCUCGGAGAUGAUUUCUAGUAUCCUAAUUUUUUUUUCACUAAAAACGGAAGUAUUAUACAUAAUAUGAAUACAACCAAGAAAAUUAAAAGGCAAGACAUCGCGAAGAGAACUGAGCAACUCCGCCUCUCACCCAGAGAUGGUAUUCAGAGUGGUUGGCAACAAAAAAACCACUCAAUCCCCAGCUCCAUUUGCCUCUCUAAAUAUAUGUUUCACCUGAAACACAUCCCACAACAAACCAUGGUCCGAAUAUCUCUUAGAAGUAGGUGAUAAUUGCCGACCCUCCUUCAAAACUUGCAGAAUUAAUGUCUGUUAAAGAAUGUCUCUUAGAAGUAUCCCAAUUUUUUUGGAGAGCAGUUUUUCCUGGCCUAUAUAGGAUGGAAAAUGCUAAAGCAACAUGCCAUAAAACUCAGGCGCAAGGUGACGAGGAAGCGCGGAAUCAGAGAGACAAGGAAAGGAAAACACCAUGCAUGAGACGAUGCCGCGCACUGGCUGAUACAUAAUUUGACAAGCUGCGUGCUGUCACAAUGUUACCAGAAACAGCUUUAACCAAAUAUAAAUUACGUACUCUGAAUCCAAUCUUUUAAACAUCAAAAAGUAGCUCUACGGAACCAUACAGAACCAUGAAAGCAAAACUUACAUCAUACUCAAAAACCUGAAGGCAUAACAGCAGUCUGCUAUAUAUAAUAAAUAUAAGAAUUAAUGGUUCAUCUGUGUACACACUAGGCAGUAAAAAAAAUCUUCCCCAAAGACCCCAACCAACCAAACAUGCAUGAACAUAAUACGCGAUACCCACACACGAGUAAAAGAAUAGCUACCACGGAUUAGAGACACCAAAAAAAUUCGGUUCCCCCACCCUUCUUUCUCAGUUUUUCCAGAUAAAAAGACAGCAGGGAAUGAGAACAAAUUCAGUUUAAUUGACCAACACCUCAAAACAGACCCUCCAAACUUUAAUCUAAAGGUCCAGAAAAUACUUCAUUCAUAAAAAGUUUACUGCUGCUUGCAUUCAGCUGGCCGAUCCCCUUGUUGAUCUUCCCCUCCAUUUUUCUGCAGCAACCAUCAUUUAGAAAAUAGACCAGGACACAAUAAAGGCUAUUAAAAUUAAGAAGAGUGUACAGACUAAGAUCAAGAGGAUGAGUGGAUAUCUCACCUUCUUUGUUGUAGCCAUCUGCUUGGGACAAUAAAACAGAUCAAAAUUAAGCAUAUGAGUAUCAACUAUUAGAAAACCAAAAGAGUAGAGUUAGUAUCUUAGUAAUUUCAGAGAUAUACCUUCCUCUUGGUCUUGCCUUCAUCCUCAACAUCAUCGUCCUCCUCCUCCUCCUCCUCCUCAUCCUCUUCUUCAUCUUCAUCAUCCUCCCCAUCUUCAUCUUCAUCAUCAUCUUCUAAGUCUUCAAAAUCAUCCCCCUGAACAGCCUCCCCCGUGAACCACAAAACAGCAUGAGGAAUUAUUUUGUCUCUAAUAGCGGACCUGCAGGACAAUGACGCCAUCAACUCAGUACGUGUAUAGGGAAAUGCAUGAGCUUGCAUGAUAAUGAGAAGGGUUCAUCUCCACAAUAAUCCUAUGGGCAAACCAUUGCCGGUACUUGCAAACAAAUGUCAAGAGACAAGAUGGCCAAAUACGAUUCUGAAAAUGUUAUCUCGAUUUCACUUUUUUCCUGUUUUAACAGAAUAAAUACAUCCUUUUUGCCUGUCUUCAAACUGUAGUAGGUCUGCUCAAAUGCGAGAGAAAAAGAAGGGCUCACCCAAUAUCAUAAUCUUGCUCCAUUUGACUCUGUAGCUGCUCAGCCUGUUCAAAGGCAGAAGAAGACAAGUUACUAAUCUGUUUGAUUUUCUUCUCAUAGUUUCUUUUCUCCGGGAAGGUAGGUCAUGAUGUCAACUUACAGUGUCUUCAUCAAUAUCCUCAUCAUCAUCUGGGACUUGUGGUGGGUUAAAGAAGUUGAAAAAACUUUCACAAUCUUCAGUUUUGGUGAUGGGCUUGGCAUUCUUUGAACCCUUCUUGGGCUUCUUUUUCAUAAGCUUCUGAGUCAAGCACUUCCCUGGCAACCAUUCAAUUUGAGUCCUACAACAGAAGGAAAGAAAAAUGUGAUGAGAUUUUCAAUAAAGAAAAAUCCUUAAAAGAUAAAUAUUUAGCAGAUAAAUAAUAAAAAAACUACUGCCUUGGAUAAAUAUUUAGCAGAUAUAUAGAAAAGAAAAUACCCUAUUGCUUUCUCUAAGAUUGGGUCUUCUUCAUCAAUCAUGUGAUAUGUUUUUGACAAGAUGGAAUUCUUGAAAUAAGGGUUAGGAUCAAAGAAAAACUCAAGCUUGAAACCCUUAGGAUUAUCAAUUCUGGACCAUUUGAUAUCCUUUAGAUACUUGAGAGCUCCCUCAUCACGCUCUUGAAUCUGGGUUCAAGAAACAUAAUUCAACUCUCAUAGGUUACCUAUCCAAUUCAUAAGGACUAAAAGAACAAAAAACAUGGCACUAUACACUCAUUACCUCCUCAGCCAGCACUUCAUUUGUUUUCAUAGCAGCAAGCCAAAAAUUUGGCACACCUUUUUCUGAUGCAUGAAAGCUCAAUAAGCAUACAAGAAAAUAGAAAUGAAUUCAACAAACAUUUGAGGUCACCAGUUCCGCCACAAACCUUCACUAGCUUUAUCUUCACUUGGAUUUUCCUCUACAUGUUCAUUUGUAACACCUUCAACUUCAGCCAAUCCAUUCACAAUCUCAUACCUCUACAUUUUUUGAUGAGCAAAGACAAAAAUAAUGAGAUUUGCCACUAAAAGCAGUAGAAUAACAAUAGGUUACACUUUUGGUGAUGUCUGUAUAGCAACCAAAACAUGCCACCAGAAAAUAUUUACCAAGUCUUCGAAAUUUUUGAAGCACCAGAGAAAUGCUUGUGGAAAAAGUAAUGACAUAUUUUACAACAUUAUUCAUCAUUAAAGAGCAUACCUUGCUGUAUAGUGGCUCAUAAAGUUUCUGAUAUUUAGCUUCAAGAGCAGCUCUUUCCUCAAAAAAUUUUGCCUCAAGUUCAUCAUGUUGGCCCUAGAAAAUAAAACGCAGUCAGAAUAUUCACAAUUCGGUGUAAUUAAACUUGCAGGCCUACUCAUAAACUUGACUUGAAACACACACUACUUCAGGUUACAAGCAAUAUCUUUGGACCAUUCAAUCACACAAAUCAUCAAUGUGAAGAACUAAAACUACUUAGCCAUUCAAUAGAAAGGCAAAAAAUUAAAAAAAAAUAAUCAAAUAAUAAGCGAACUUAUUAGGGCUGAAAUCAGAUCGGAUAUAGAUCAGAUACUAGUAUAUCCAUAUCCAUAUUUGUUUUGUUUGACAUAUACAAAUAUGGUUACAGAUGUUGGUCGAAUUCAAAAAUUUAUAUCCAUAUUUGUUUUAAAUAGAUACGAAUACAAAUUGGAUACUGGAAGCAUGGAUAUAAAUACUUAUAAUUCGGAUAAUUAAACUGUAUAAUCACAGAAUCAAAAUAUUACUAAGUGGAUGAUAAAUUAAGUUCAUAGCAUGUUAAUGUGGUCAUUUAUUUCUCUUACAAGUUCAUGAGUGCUAUAUAUAAUUAAAUAAGAUUACAAAUCAAAUCGGAUAAUCGGAUACAGAUCAAGUAAUUAUCUCUCCAUAUCCAUAUCCGUUUUUCUUUGACAGAUAUAGAUACGAAUAUUAGUCAGAUGGUCCAAAUUUUAUGCAUAUCCGAAUAGAUUCGGAUAUGAAAAUGGAUCCGGAUGGAUAUUAUCUGAUUUACUUUCACCCCUAAAACUUAUUUCAAGGGUCAUAAAUAUGAAUAAAAGGGGGAUCAAUAAGGAAAGAACAGAUUAAUUCAGAGUAUAUGCCUCCUACCUUCACUCCCCAUCUGUCAAUCAUUUAUCUGCUCUUACUCAUAUGCAAUGCAUAUCUGAGCAUCAUCAAGACAGUCAGAUGAACCUGAACUAUACCUCACACCAAGGCAAGUUAGGCUCAAGCAUCACCCUAUGCAGGUAGAAUUUGGGCCAUGUUAUCCCGUGCACAAUUUCUUUGAACAUAAUAUGAUGGUUCAAUGGUGGAACAGUUCAGUUAUGCAUUCAAAACUUAGCCAAAAAAAAAUUGAACCAAUCCAAGCUAAGCUAUGAUUCGUGACUAGGACUAUGUGGCAGAAUAAACCACCAGACUUCACAAGCCUAUUGUAGAUUUAAGUAUACAAGCAAUUCAUAUAUGUAGUAGAAAAGAAGGGGCACUAAAUUGAGAAAUGAAUUUCGCUAAAUGUUCAAGAGUAUUAUUCUCAUAGUCAUCAAAAUUUUUUUACUUGCUCCCUAGAAGCAAGGAGCUGGAGUUGAAUAAAAAAUUUAAUGGAGCAGUGCUGUUCAUUUUUUUAAGGUGGCACAGGAAAAAAAGGUGGUGUAGCAAUGUAGUUCAAGAGGCAUAGUCCAAGAACCAACUAAUGAUACUUGCUUCAAUAGUUGGACCACUAAAUAACCUUAACGUGUAACUUGCACACCUGUCCUGAAGUAUAUAAAUGAAUAGAAGGGCCAAUCGCUGCAACUUUAAAUGCGAUGGUUAUAGGAUGGCUAUAUCAGAUGCGAAAAAUCUGAGUAGCUUGCUGGAAGCCAAAAGUCAGGAUGUAAUGGUCAUACCAAAGAUGAGAUGAUGAAAAAUAUAUGUAUCUAAUUAAAAGUUACGUUUUUCACUGAAGCAUAAGAAACAUCAAGACCAUGAAGUUAUAUUACAACUCACAAGUGGACUGAUUCACCACAAGCCACAAGCCUCACCGCGUCAACUUUCCUUGAGAGUCAUUCCCAUAACAACUGAAAUUUGGUAUUUCACCUUUUCAAAUCCUUGGUCAGAACUUCCAUAAAGUUUAAACCUCCCAAUUGGAUUCCCAACCUUUCCACACAAGCCUUCAAAUUUUGAUUGCACAUGCAGUUAGACUCUCGAUCCAUCCUAAGUAACAAUUAUGGAUGCUUUAUUAUUACAUCGAGAACUAAUAAGUAUAAAUACAAAGAAAAUUGAAACAGAACAAAAGACCCAAUUUUCAAUUAAAUAUGAAGUUUGAAUUGAUGAGAGGAUCGUGCAGGCUUUGAAACAUGUUUUAUGAUCUUUAAAACUGCUAUACGUGAGUAUUCUGCCUCUCAUUAAUCCCAAUCCUAGAGCUUUGACACAUGAUUUUAUCCCUACUUUACCACCUUUCUGCAAAUAAACUUGAAGCAGUAAUCAAGACGGUACCUGCUACAACAACUGGUGAUCCAGACUCGAUGUGACCACUUUGACUACUACGAGCAGGGCUAGACAGGGUGCAAGAGCGAGAUUCGGUAUAUCGAGAAGCUGAGUCGCAGCUAAACUUUUGAAAGCUAUAACUUGAUCAUAUGAUGGUCGAUUGAGAUUUUUUUUUUAAUUGGGGUAUCUUUUCGAGAUCUACAACUUUGGGCAGGUUGAAUCAAGCUGAUAUUCAAUCAUUUAGACCCUGAAAUGGCCUAGUCAAACCAAAAAAAAAAGGGUAAAACUUUGACCAGACAUAGCUCUCUAUCCGAUUAGAAUUAGGCAGAGUGACAAAAGAUAGAGUUGAUGUAGAAAUCGAGAUCUACCUCCUUGAAAGUUUUAGCUUUUUUCUAUUAGAGAUGUCUUUUUUUGGAAAAAAGAGUCUUACAAAAAUUAGGAAAAGAAAUCCGACUCAAAUUAUGUUAGGGCGGACCUCACAUUAUAAAUAGAGGCUAUGUAUCUCGUUUUUUUAAAGAUUAAUGAAAAAAAAGGACUUAAAACCCUACUUUCGAGAUUCCUCCAUCUUCUUCUACUUAUCUUUCGAAAGCUUCGAGUUAAGCGGAUCGAAAAAAUCUUCCUUCUCUCUGAUCGGAUCAAGUUGGUAUCAGGGCCAUGCUCUUACUUGGUAAAAUUCCAACUUGAUCUGAUCAGAUCAAGUUGGUAUUAGAGCCUCGAUCCUCUACAUCUAUGGGAGCCUCUGUUUACGGUCCCAAUGCGUGAGCAAUACAAACAAUUAGGAGAAGGCCUAUCCAUGCUUCAAGUGCAUCGAAGGACAAAAGCGAGUAUGACUGCUAGUUCUUCCUCAACGGGUGAUGAUGAGAUGCAAGGACAUCUCAUACAGCUAGAGGAGAAGAUUGCCCAACUCACCGAGAUCGUCUCGAGAUUAGCAAUAUCUUCAACACAAGCACCAACAACUCUUGUUGCGAAGCUCUCCUACAGCUCGAGAUGAAGAACCACCAUCCAGCGAGGAUAGUGAAGAUGAGCAACCUAUGGGUAUGAGAAAUCUCUCUUUAACCGUUUGAAGUUAAAGCUUGAAUCAAGAUUCCUGUACAUGAUGGGUUGUUAAUGCGGAAAAGCUAGCCGGCUAGACCCGUUAGAGACAUACUUUACUAUCUAUAAAUACUCUAGCGCCAGAAGGUAGCUUUUGCUCGUCUUAAGCUUUCUAGCAAUGCUCUUACCUGGUAGAAUUCGUACAUGAAGAAUAAUGGCAUUUCAAAUCUAACAUGGAACAAAUUCAAAAUCCUAAUCAAGAAACAAUUCUAUCCAAUCAGCCACGAGGAUUGAUGGAUCAAGUGGCAAUACCUACGGCAGAAGUAUGAUCAGUCUAUCUAGGACUAUACCAUCGAGUUCCACAAGCAAGCAAUCUCCCUCGAAAUCUCCAUCGACAAUAAUGCAAUUUUUAUGAAAUACAUCGGAGGUCUCACGAGAGCAUCCGAAAGGAGUUGAAACUCUUCAAAGUUGAAGAUAUCAGCGAAGCCAAUAUGAAGGCCAUGAGGAUUAAAAAGAAAAAUCAGCCUACGAAAGGUACAAAAGGCGACAAGUUUAAGAAAGACAACGAAAAAUCAAGCCAGAAGGGGGAGCAGGGCAAGAAACAGGCCAACACAGCUCAAAGAAUUUAUUGUGAUCAUUGUGACCUCCGUGGAUACACCAAAAAGAAGUGUUGGAAACUUCACCCCGAGCUACGACUGAAGAGGAAGACGCAGAAAGAAGAGGAUUCCAAGAAGAAGAGAAAGGUGGUUCUCAAUUCUGUCGAAGUUGAGGAGUUACGUAAGCUUAAGCAAGCAAACUCCAAAUUGAGCCUGAUAGUGAGGAAACCCAAGACAGCAACCGAAGCAGAUCUAUAGGCACAAGAGAAACUCUUCCGCCUGAAGAUCCAGAUGAAGCAUAAUAUCAUUGAGGCUAUCGUAGAUUCUGAAAGUCAGAAGAACCUUAUCUCUAAAAAUCUGAUUUAUAAACUGGAGUAGCAGACUAAGCCUCCUCCACGUCCCUACCUCUUGGUUGGAUUCAGAAGGACGUUCAAUUGAAGAUCACUAAGCAAUGUACCUUCAAAUUUGCUGCAACUGAGAGAGAUAUUGACGAGGUAACUUGUGAAAUAAUUUCUUUGGAUGUUUGUCAAGUUAUCCUUAGGAGCCCAUCCCUUUGGGAUCGAGAAAUUUCACCAAAAUAGCUACAUUAGCAUCCCUGUGAAAUUAAGUCAGUGAAAUUUCUCAUCCCUUGUGAAGUAAUUCCUCAUCCCUGUUUUGAACUUGAAGUUAUCCUUGGGAGCCCAUGUUAAGUCAGUGAAAUUAAUACUGGUUCAGAUUUCAAGAAACCAAGCUUCCACCCCACCCCCCCAAGAAAAAAAAAUCUACAAGUUCUCCUGUGGAGCAUAAUUUUUUUUCAAAAGAAACAUUUGGUGAACUAAUUUUUAUGCACCUAACCCCCUAAAUCUUCUUAUUUCAAUAAUACUUUUUCCUCGAUCCUACAUUUGUUAGGAUCAUCUGAUGAACCACGUGACCUAAGCAGCAUGUCCUUUGCAAGAUAAUCAUGGACCGUGAAUGAGAAGAACACUAAAUUUAAGCAUGCUGCCAAUUAAAAGUACACCUACUUAAAAAAGAAAAAAAAUAUCAUGGAUCAAAAACCAUAUAUACAUGGAAGAGUUUAUGAAUCUAACAAUCUAAAAAAGCACGCACAUAACUUAUGAUUCUCGGCAUUCUUGUCAAAUUUUAGCAUGCAAGUCUUUCCUUCCUUGUAUUUAGUUUUCCAAAAAUAGAUUUUUUCCACAACUAAGUUGCAGCUAAAACCUAAGAUGCACUUAAAAUAACAGGAACCUGAAACCCUAAUAAGAAUCGCCAAAAGAAUAUGGGGACCGUCAAAAAGAGAAAGGAAAGCUAUAAACCCUAAGAAGCACCAAAAAAAAAAGAAACCUUUGAGACGAAAAACAUAUUCAAAGGAUCAAGAUAAGAUGAAAGAUCAAACCUGGAUCUCCCUCAGCACCUCAACGCGCUUCCUGACCUUCGGCGAGAGGGUCUCCAGCACAUCAGAGCGCUUCCCUGUCAGGCUCUGGAGUUUGUUCUGUAUCAAGAACACAUCAACUUAUUAUUUUUUCAUUUUUUUUAAGAAUUCUCAAUAUAGAAGCAGAGCAAAGAAGAAAACGCAGACGAAGCAAGAAAUAGUGAUCAAAGUGCGAAAAAUCAGUUAAAAAAAGAAAGAAAGAAAAGCCACCUUGAGAGCAUUAACAAGACCGGCUCGGUCCUCCGCGCCCAUAGCUACAUAUCAAGAAACAACCCAAACACAUAAGAACAGAGAUCAAGAAGUAAAAAAGAGAUCCAAGGGAAUGAACGGAAGGAAGAAAGAAACCUGGAGUGACGGCAGGCAGAGCGGAACCGAGAUCAGAGAGAUUGAUGUUGUCCUGUUGCUUGUCGUUGCUCAUUGUCGUCGCCUCGCCUCCGCCGAGAUGAGAGAGGGAGAGAGGAACCCUAGAGAGGGGGAUAUGGAGGCGAGGAAAAGAGGGGGAUAGAAAGGGGAGGCAAGGCCGGUUUAUAUACUGGUGGGGGGAAGCCGUGGGUGUAGGGUUUUCUUCCUCGCUCUUAAAACGGCGCGGCCGGACGGGGCCCUGCUUCUUCUUUCGAAAUUAGAGACCCAGAGGAACCCUACUCUCUGAAAGUGACGUCACCGCAGCCAGGGGUGGCGGUGUGGGUUCGUUUCUGGGUACAAAUUUGGGUGAGGGAGAAGUAGUCUGGAAAUAGUAGACAUCCGGCGCGCAACGAGCGAGAGCGGGGGCGAACCGAACGGGGCGCGGCUCCGGUCGUCUUGUUUCAGACAGCGGCGCAAGGUGGGUCCGCUCCAGCCAAUAGUGAACCGACGCAUGGGCUUAUACGGCCACGGUGAGUUUCUGGAGCUUGGAUGUUGAAAAGCUCCGAAGUGAGCGGGGGAAUUGGGUCACCGACGGAUCCACUCGAGAGGAGCACUGCUCACUUCUGGAUUUGUUGUUCCAGUGAUUUGUCCAUUUAGAUUUACUUAAGAGACAACUCGUGGCUUGAUUUACGGGCCUGAGUUCUAAAUUAAAGACGCCGGUGGACCAUUUGACAAGCCAAAGAAACUUCCGUAUGUCACGUUGAAACCAUCUAAAAACUAUCUAAUCAAUGUACCUCUUGCAUGGAUGCCUAAGGUGUGCACAAAUGGCAUAAUGAGCAUUAUGGUAUGUCAUUAUAAUGGAAUAAACAAAUGGGCCAGGGAGUUUUUUGUUUUUUUUCUUUUUUUGGGUGUGUGGCUAAAAUUGAACUUGAGAUGUUUCCUGGAUGGUAAUUAUUUCAAUUUUCAAAAGAAUCUACCCCCUUUCUUUCUUUCUGGCUACAACACAGCCGUGUAAAAUUCAGAAACCAUCGUGUAAUUUACAGCCAUUUAUUUUAUUUUAUUUUAUUUUUUUUGGUACAUCGACUGCUCAUACUAAUCUCGAAUCACUAAAAAAUAGACUGCACAGUAGCAGAAAAACAAAAGCAUGUUCAGUCCAGAAGAACUCCCCUUGAUGGUGGGCAGCACCUCUUAUUUGAGGCUGCUCCCCAGCCACAUCGACCCUUAAUUCAGAUUACCUAGCAGAUCGAGCCUCACACCUCGAAGGAUCUACCAUCUGUACUAAGGUUGGAGUUACAGCUACUUGAUAUCUAUGAACAAAGCAAUAAUGGCACGAUCUUCACUGUAUCCAGCUUGCAUUGAAUAUAUACUUGUAAAGAAAUGAACCCAUCGGUACCAACUUGCACUCAUCAACAAGUAACAUAGAUGAUAGCUCGCGCACAGCUGGAAUUGUCCUUUUGGAUGUGAAUAAAACCAACAACAUUGNNNNNNNNNNNNNUUGUCCGGCAGUGGGAAAUCCAUUUCUACUAGUUUGCUGAAGUACUCCUGGCAAAUUACUUAUACCUCCGUAGGAACUAUGGAUCCAAGAUGCUCGCAAAUCUGAUUCUAUAUAACCUAAAAAAAGUUGCAUGGUAUUAGCAAAUUUGCUACCAUAACAGCGGCCAUUAUCGCCAGCUUUGAAGCUUAAAACUCAUCCAUGACAAUCGUCAACUAAAAUAUUCCUCUGCUACUCAAUAUCAGCAAAAGGAGACAGAACCAAUGCUAUAAGAGGGGCUAAUGUUUUUUCCUUCCCCCGCCCCUCUCACUACAGUAUAUAUAACAUUUGAUCGAGGCCAGGAGAAUGAUAUCAUAUCCUCUAACCUUGUUCGCACCCAGAUGUUCUUCCACCAGUAAACCAGUAUUCAGGAAAAUAAGUUUUAACACAAAAUUAAACAUGCACAGACACAACCCAAAAAAACAAAAAGGGAAAAGAAAACACUUGCAAUUGUACAAACUCUUUGAGCUGCAGAUGUGCAUGUCAGAAAUGCUAUGACCUUUAGCUUGCAAAUGAUCUCAGCUUCCCGUUUUUUUGCCUGCAAGGAGAUGGGACAUCACGCAACGAAUGGAAUAUCGCAUGAGUGCAGCUAGCUAAUCAAGAUUGAUAACCCUACCAAAACAAGUCCUUCUUUUCCUGUGCUAGUAAUUCCUCAAAUGAGAUAUCAGGAAGUUCUGUUGCCUGUGUUUCCUGGUCUGAAGUAGCUUUCAACUCCAUGUUCGAACUAAUCUCAAGCAUCUGACAUGAGGUGAUUAGCAAAAGUACAUCAGAAAUGUAUCACGGCAACAUAAAACUAUAUUACCUGAAUUGUAACUCAGCUGUAGUAAUACCUCGUUAUAUGCAGGUGAGAGCUUAAGCUGCUCUUGCAGUAGAUUAUAAACGGCUGCAUCUGCCUCUAAUCUCUUAUGUUCUGCCUCUAACUUGUAUAUCUGCAGAUAUAAACACAGAUCUGAGGUGAUAUACACUAGAACAUGCAAUAUGGAAAACAAUAGCUGCCCAAAACAAGCAAUUCAUGCAAGCAGGAGUCCAGCAAACCUGUUGCGCAAGACGAUCAAAUGAAGACCUGUCAGCCUUCACGAGUAAUGCCUUCUUUAUUUUAAAACUACGUUGGAUGAUAUCAGACCUGACAAAAUGGAAAUGUAUAAAUAACUUUAACACUCAUUACAUGAUAUGACAAAUAAGGACAGCAUUGCCAGCUAGCUCUCUGAAAAAAAUUACAUACUUGUGCUGCAAUUCAUUUCUUGCCUCAACUAGGCAGUUGAUAAAUUGUCCAACCUGCACACAGUCGGUAGCAAAAACCAUUUAUGCCUUUGCAUGUUUAACACUAUAAAUGACAUAGAUACAGGUUGAUGGUAUUCCCAUGAGGUCGUGGAGCUCAUAAGUUGCAGAAUGUUUGCAUGAACAAGAUCCACUUGUGAGGGCUGGUUGUCCUACAGAAUAAGCAGAUACAGAAAUAGUGGGGGAUGGGGGGGAGGGAUACUAACAUAGAGCAAGUUCAGAUAGAAAUUUUUAUAUGCCAAGAACUGAAAACCAUGACAGGUCAUUAAAUCAACUGUAGUUGCCAUGAGAAAAUGCAAUUAUAGCAUCUACAAUAAUAACUGCAGCUGCUGAACAACAAUGAAGAACAAAAGGUGAAUAUGGUGAAGAAAGAGGGAUUUAUGCAAAAGCCUACGCUGCUGAUGCAUAUGGUGCAAACAAUUUGGGAUUCAUCAUAUUCCAUAUGAAAGUGUGGACUUUUUUAACCAUUUCAGGAGGCAAAAACCAUGAACAUUUUACAAUUGCAACUGACAUACUAGUAUGCCUCAAAAGAACGACUCUCAAAUUGUCAACAACAUAUAUCCUGCUGCCCAUAACCAUGAAACUAAAACACAUUGGUCAACUAUGAAUCAUCCAUAUUUGCAUCUUGAUUUCUUUUUUAUCUCACACAUUUCAUUGUAGCAACUGAUGCGCUUGAAUUCUUCCCUGCCCCCUGAUUGAUUUCUUUGGUUGUAAAUAUUGCAAGCUCAACACAGCUUUCCAAAUAAAUUCAUGAUUCCUGUGUUCCUCUGUAAUGGGAUCAAGCAACAAGGCUCUAAAUAUGGUCAUAAAUGCAUAGGAUUUUUAAACUAUUGUUUCCUUGUUUCAACUCAUGUUCUCUUAUAAUCUAAUCUUCUGCCGAGUUACUUUCCUUAGGACCUGAGUAUUUCAAUUUUUGAUGGAGAUUUAUUCAGAAAAAAAAAUUCUGUAACAAACUUUGAAAACUGGCAACAAAGUACCACUAGAGUCAGUUAAAGAUGUCUUUUCUUAGAACUAGGUAAAAAUAUUCAGUCAGUCAUCAUAAUGGUGGUCAGGAUAAUGCUUUUCUCUGACUCAAGGUUUAAAGAAUACAAUAGCAUAACAGUAUUGCACUUUCGGAACCAUCAGGCAUGUGCUCUACAUGGAAAAUUGUGCAUGCAAAUUAAAAAAUGGAAUAUUCAAGGCCUAUUAAAAAUGCAUUAAUGGAAUGUUUAGGAGACCUAUCAUUUUGGUUACAAUUUUUUUAUCGCUAAACAGUAAACAACCCACACUUUUCAAAAAUGUAAAACCACAUUUGUCACUGACAAAGUAAAUCUUACAUCCUCGGUCAUCUAGAGCAUGCAUUUUGAUGCAUUAUGCCAAAAUGAAACAAAAUUCACAAAAAAUUUCAGUUGGAAAUGAUGUAUCUGUUACAACAUUGUUCCACAAACAUACUGUACUUUGAAAGAAGUAUAGUGGUGUUCUCCAUCAAAGGAUCAAGACCCAUGAACAGGACCCAUUAAAACCCGGACGGGUUGACCCACCCUACCAGUGACUCAUAAGCCUACAAGGAUUGGGUCAACCUGAGACCCAGAUUUCCUAAAACCUGAGCGGCUUGCUGACCCGUUAUUCACCACCCGUUUCAACCCACUAUUGGCCUGCCCAAACAUCUGAUGUCAGGAAGCUCAAAUAGCUAUAAGAAAUAAACAUUUAUUAGCCGAUUUGAACUUUGAACUAUUGUUGUAUGGAGUUUUACCAAUCACAUCUACUACAAAAUUACACUAUGGUAUUCCCCCAUAUCUAUUCAUGGUUUAUCGAUAUGUGCCGAUAUAGCACAUUGUACGUGUUGAUAUGGCACAUAAUACAGGGUAGUACAUACCAUGGUAUGGGGCAAUAUAUACUCCGAAGUUUUCCCUUCUUUACCAGUACAACAACCAUAUAUGUGGACCAAGAUUGAAGUUUUCGCUGAAACCAAUGUGUUUCGGCUGAAAUAGAUUGAUUUCAGCCUGAAACAAUUUAAAACUGAUCAAAGUUUAUUUGUUUUAGUCAGUUUCACCAAUUUAGCAGGUUUGACUGAACUAAGUGAAAUGGUCAAAAUUAUCUCAAAAUUGGAUUCCAUUGUUAUUUAGGAAGUGAAGUGAUUUUUUCUUGUUCCAUACAUUUUCAAGAGAAGAAGAGAGAGACUAUUAAUGUCACCUUAUUUCCCCCACUUGCUUCCUUUUGAAAGUUAAAUAGCAGGAGAUGGAACAGACAUUGUUCAUCCCUCUCCACAAUGAGCGCAGGUUGCUCAAUACCCUUUCCUUGCAAUUCCUCUCCUCAUUGGUGAUCCAAAAGGAGUAAUUGGCCGAAACUCGAUGGAAUUGAUAAUGAUGAUGAUGAUGAUUUCUUAAAAAAAAAAAGACGAUGACCACAUUAUUUAGAUGACCAUCAUUAUUUAUGUGACCCACCUCGCAAAAGUAAUGUGGUAUUGAAUGGGAAUGUUUAGCUAAUUUAUACUCUUCCAUGCUUGUCUUGCUAUUUUAUGCUUAAGUGAUAUUUGGUGCUGAUCCUCUAUAAUUGAUACAUCCGCACAAUAUAUUUAACGUAUUUAGCUUCAAUAAUCAAUAAAAUUUACCUUCAAUCCAAAACUACCCAACUACACAUUCAAGAUACAUGAAAAUGAUGUGAAGUGCUUGCCUUGAUUUCUUUAAUCAUAUAUGGAUUAAAUUAAGUUUUGAUAGCCUUAUUUGAUCGAAGUCAAGUUCUAUUUCUAAGAUCCAAUUUCUGGUCAGAGGAACUUGGAUGCAGCUAGUUCAAAUCCCAAAACCCGAUAACCCGAAUAUAUAUACACAAACUAUAUAUAUGUAGUAUAUAUAAAUAUAGGAAUAUAAAGAGAAUUAGCUACAUGCAUGAAUUCAUUCUCUAUGUUUGUAUUUGUGCCUUUUUCUCACAUAUGCUCUCCUAAUAUCUCGCCCAUUGCUAUUUUAGUUCCACAAUCUCAUCCCCACUUAGAUUUUGAUUAUUGUUUCAAUCAACUAAAAAUAAAUAGAUAUUUAAAUCUAAUUCAAAUGGGAUCGGAUUUUUCUGAAACCAAUCAUUCACUUCCUAUAUAGUGCUCCUUUUCCAUUGAAAUAUGCCACUAAUUCAGUACAUAUGAAGGACCAUUACGAUAAGAGUUCUUUCAAUUUUGAAAAUUGUUAACCUUGUCUAGUUGGGCCCCUAAAAUCAUGUGCUAAAUCGAAUCUCAAAAACUCAAAACCGAUUAUUUUAAAUGAGUUUGAAUGCGAGUUCAAAGCUUACUAAAUUAAUGGAUCCGGUCUCGAUAUUUUUCUCGAGUUCGGAUGCACAUAUAGCACAGAUCUGACUCGAGUCUGACCGAUUUGUAGCCCCAAGUGACACCAAUAAAUAGCCUCGCAUGUUCCCGACGCCAUAGACCAUUUCAAUCUGAUAAUGGAGACAGCUUCAUGUGGUUUGACUUCCUGUGAUUCUGGGCUUAACAAUAAUGGGCAAGAAUUUUCUUUUAUCUCAUAAUAAAUAAGUACAAUCCAUAUCCCUUUAGUUAAAGAAUGGGAAUCCAUGCAUAAAAAUUAACACCAUUCAUACUUCGGUGUACUCUUUAUUCAUAAUAUAUUUGUCAUCUCUCAUGAAUCAUCAAUUUAAUUCCUAGCUCCCUAACUGGUCUUUUUCUUUGGCAUAAGUACCUUUCUGAAAGAUAAAAGAAACAAAAGCAAAGGACUUGACUUAAAAAAUUGGGACUUGGAACCCGAAUUCCAAUUGGCAACUGUCAUGCUACAAAAUUAUGUAAUUUGAGCCAUAAUGCAUUAACACGCUGUUUGGUUUGAGAUAACUAGAAAGAAGAGAAAAAAAUCCACUGUUUUGUUCAGACAAAGAAAAGAGGAAUCCAUUUUCUCUUGUUUGGUUACAAAUUGAGGAAAAAAGAGAGGAGAACCUAAAAUCCCUCAUUUGGAAAGUCAGGAGAGAAGAGACAAGAAUCAAAAAGAAGUGAUUCUCUCCAAAUGCUUUGAUAAUCUCUCUAAAAGAGGAGAGAUUUUGGAGAGGAAAGAAAAUGUCCUCUUCUUUUUCCCCCUUUUAAUUUUGUUAUUCUCCUUUUCUUUUCUUUUCAUCUUGGGUUCAAGAUUCUCUUCUCCUCUCAUGUCACCUUCUUUUCUUUUCUCUCCCCUAUGUAUCCAAACAGGACGUAAGGGCUUGUUGCAGGGUCGGCGGAGCCGUCCCGAAUGGCCCAAUUCGGGGCAUCCCGAACCAUACUAGUGGCGGACCGAGACAGUUCCGGCAAUGAACCGAGACUUCAUCGUCAGACGGGGAGAAGGAAAAGGAGAGAGAAGAAAAGUGAGAGCGAGCGGGGGGCGCUUGGGAAGGAUACAAAGGCCGCGGCCAGAUCUCCUGUUUCACUCGAAACAGUGGUCCGGCCGCUAAAAAAAGUUUGCGAUUUUUAAAUAAAGUCGGCAAACGAUUUGCCACCCUCCGCUAGCCUCCUUCUCUCUCUCUCUCUCCCUCUCUCCUCCCCCUUCUCUCUCUCUACCCUCUCUCCCACGGUCUGUGUUUACCAUCUCCUGUGUCGGGCCCGACCCGGCAUGGCAUGAGUCCGUACCGACUCGUGCCGCCGGACAACCGGUACAGUGCCGAGUACCAGCACAGUAGAUCGUGGCUUGUUGGAUGUUAAAAGAUCUUAUUAGCGGAUAAGAUCUUCUGGAUAAGAUUUCUAUUUUAUAGACACGUCAAACGGCACGUGCUCCAAAGAGAUUAGGCAGCACAACUCUAGCUAAUUCCUGAUUUCCAAGAAUAGGGCAAAUACCUUGAGAGGAAGGGUUUGAUUAUCCCUGAAAAUUGGGUUAGAUGAGGACAAACUAGUCAACCGAUGCUCUUUAACUCCUCUUCACCUCUUUGAAUGCAACUCUCGGUCAUCAACCCUAAUUUUCAAAUAGUAGUUUUCAGCAUCCAGACAGACCAUAACUAUUCUUUUCUAUAUAUAGUAUCCCUUUUGAUAACUGAAAGGCAAGGGACAUGCCUAGCACGUUUGGGUCCUGAGACCCAUUUCUAAAUUUUGCCUUUUUCAUUCUUGAGUCCCCAGUAUAAAUGCUGCCUUGUUUUUUCUAACCCCCCACCUGCUGACUGGCCCUUUAUCAGAUACAAUGUAUUGCUCUAAAAGAUAGAUAAAAAUGUAAGACUAUCUCACAUACAAGACACUGAAUCCUCAUUCUCUAAUUAGUUUCCUCUUAGAUGUUAGAGGCCUAUUUAUCAAAUAAAAAGACAGGGAAAUGACCUUCUUCACGCAUAUUUAAAAUUCGAGACUUCGUUUGCAUGUCGCCUUCUUGUCAAGGAAUUACACUUACCAUCCAUCUCCCAAACAAAAUAGAUCCUCCAUGUCCUUAAAGUGGACCCAUCUAUGUACCACCUUUAUGGGUAAAUCAUGAGAUUGGGGUACACUCUAGGUAAGUCAUGCAAGUGAACAGGAAUAUUUGUAAUAGAAUAAUGUAUGUUCCUUACUUGAACUUUAAUUUCAAUGUGCUUGUUUUAAGAUUAUUGAAUCGAGGUACCUGAGUAGCAGGGCAAUUCUCAGUUGUGCCAUAGUUAGUAUGACAUGGCACAAUAUGCUUACCUUGCCAACCCCUAAUCAGCAUGAUGACAAUACAAGAUAUUAACAUAAAGAAAAUAAAGUACUGGACCAAAUGGAUGAUGUGUCCUACAAUAUAAGAACAAGUUGUAAUAACUUGGCAGGCCAAAGUAACAAGCAUAAGAACAAGUUGUGAUAACAUAAUGAGAACCAUGAGCAUCGAGUUGCCGUAGGCUAUAUCUGUUGAGAAGUAAACUGAGAAUUAUAUUAAAGAGCGAGACUGUCAAAAAAAUAUAUAGCAAAAACAAUGAGCACCAGUUACAUAGUGAAGGAAGACAAUGGAAAGAUGAGCUUUUGACUAUCAGCCAGUUAAACCAAACAAAAGCAUAUAAAUUGACAACCAAGAAAAAACCUCCUUUCUUCACUAUGUUAUUUUCCAUUGAAGGAUAAGGAAAGAGAUGCAUAUAGUAGAAUUAGAAUGUGGUGAAUCAAAGAAGGUGCACAAAUAAUGUCGUGCAUUUGCCUCGUGCUUCUGGGUUUUAAGGAAACAUUAUUUUUCAUAAAAAGUGAUAAAACCAUGAAGGCAAGAAUAAAUGCAACUUUAAGCUUGUGGAAUCCAACCCUUUCACAUAAAAAAUUUGAGGUCAUGUGCACAGAUGAAUAAGCAACCACUUAUGAAUAAAAUUGUAAUAGCUUAGAUCAGAAUUCUCAGUUGGAUAUGUUGCUUAAAACAAGAAAAUUGGGAAAGAACCAAAUACAUUGAAGCAAGCUAAUACAAAAGGGCAUGAUGAAAAGUCCGAUCAGAAGCAGAGAGUUGGAUUAGUCAAAACUAUAAAGUGUAUAGUAAUGGAAAGUUAACUGGAUUGGUUUUUCGUAAUAGAUGGGGACUGCACCAUCAAGGACAAUCUUUCAGAAACUAUUGAAGAGAAACGAGAAGCACAAAACAAGAGACGCAGAAAUUGGAGUUGUAAGAAACAUCAACAAGGUGGAAGAUGUCAACAGCUAAACGUUGUUUGCACUUGCUUUUAUUCUGUGAAGUACUACUUGCGUAUUCCUAUGAUUAGGGCAUUGAACCUUUAACUUCAAUUUAACUCCUAAAAAGGAGGGGUAAUUUUUUUUUUUUAAAAAAAAGAGAAGGGUAAACAAACAAAGAAUUCGACUUUUUAGUUUAGACUAAGACAGACAAGUACCCAAUAAGAGACAACACAUCACUCAAAGGAAAAACAUAUACAUAAAGGUCCUAGACCAUGAUAAACUCCAAAUCUAUUACAUUUGUGACUGGCUUCACACACUAAAAAAACAAUUAGGAUUAAAGCAAAGCUUCCUUUCAAAAAAAAAGAAAAGAAUGUGAGCCUGACCUUUGGACGCCCACAGAAUGUCCAAUAAAGAAAAGGAAGGAAAGAACAAGAGUUCCCAGAUGGCACCGAAACAACACAGUAAAAUAAAAUUCAAAUCUUUUUCUAGAAGACAAGCCUCAAGCACUAAUUUCCCAUCUCAACCAUUCCUUCCCCAAACGCAAAUAUCAGAAUUUAGGAUUCAGAGAUUAUUAUAUGAGGUGGGAAACACAUCAAGAAAUUAUUAUAUGAAACUCGGCCAUCAAGAAAUUUCGAAACCCAAUCAUCUCUUUAGAAAAGAAAAGAAAUGAGAAACAUAUCAAGAAGAGAGGGGGAAGAAAGCAAGACCACCUGCACCGCCGUCAAAGCGUUGGCCUGGUUGGAUUCCACGAGCUGAUCGUACUGCGCUUUGAUCUUCCUCUGAGUUGCACUGGCAAACGAAGAGAACGGGUAGAUAGAGCCCGCUUUCCCCUCUCCUGCCUUCCCCAUCUCCUCCGCCCCCGCCCCAACCUUCGCUUCCUCUCCACCCUCCAAUCCCCCACCGGACUCCUGCCUCUUCUUCUUCCCCCUCUUCUUCUUCCGCUUCUCCUCCCCCUUCUGCCGCUCCCCAUCUCCACCGCCACCCGUCGUCGUCGUCGCCGCCGCCGCCGCCGCCGCCUUCCGGUCGCCGCCUGGGAGCGGCGGGAGGUCUUCUUCUUGGGCUCCGGAUAGAGCGAUGGCGCGGUGGGCGCGUUCGCGUUCUUGGGCUUGUUUCCGCGCGGCGCUCUUCUUCUUGACGAAGUAGAGGGAGGAGAGGAUGAGGGCGAAGGACAUGGAGAUGACGAAGUAGUUGACGAAGGCUAGUAGCUGCUGGUGGGGCGCCAUGGAUGGAAGCCCGUCAUGCCACGGAGAGAGUGCGUAUGCGUGCGCGUGUUUGUUUCAAGGUUUUGGAGGAUUUGAGAGGAGGCGAGAGGAGGCUGAGGCGGAGGUGGAGUCACAACAAGACUGAGGACGCCGAUACGCGACUCGCUUUUCUUUCGUCAGGGCCACGAAAGAAUACGUGUGAGGAAAGGGAGUGGGGGAGACCGAGAUCAAACAAGUCGGCUGCAUAUGCGAGUCCAACGGACGCCAGAAGGAUACCAUCUCCUGUCGCUUGGUUUUCCUUCUCCGGUCUAAAUUACGGACCUCAGGAAGACCUAGAAUUCUUAAGCCUGCUCUUCUGAGUCAGCGGGAUUGUUUUGGCACGUAAUGGUAUCCAAAUAAACUCAUCUGGGUAAAAGGGGGUUUUACUCCACCUCAAUCCAUCGAAUACUAGAAAAAAUAGCUAUUUUGUUUUUACGACAAAUGACAAGUUAAAGGUUGAUAUAGAAUAGUUUUUCCAAAGUAAAAUUAGGUUCCAAGUAAAUUGAUCUAUUUUCUUUGAGGAGCCUGCUUUACGAGAACAGCUAUUUCGUAGGUUUUGUGAUCUUCAAGUCUUUAAUAUUUAUUGUUGUAACAUGAGUCUCUCAUGAUGUUUAUAGUUCUCUAUACAAUCUAAUCCAUAUUGCAUGUUAGUUUCACUACAUAAUGGAUGAUUUGGACGUAAAAUAUACUGUAAAUUGGGAUUCAUAUCAUCAUAUGAUGUGGAGGAACAACGCAAAGAUGAUAAAGGGGCCAUUCUAGCAUGGUAUUUUAAUGCAUUUCAAAAGCAUUUCUCUGAAUGAGCUCUAUUGUUCCAUACAAGUUUUGUCAUCCCUAGCAUGCAUAUGAUCUCCAUGUUGAACGUUCUUUUUAUCUCUGCCCGGAAUUGGUGCUUCUGGAUGUUUUUUUUUUUUUGCAAGUCCACGGUCUAACCUUCUAAAGAAGAGGUAAAAUCCGAAAUGCAUGCAAAUCCCGGAACUUUUUGCAUGUUCAACAUUUUAUAAACGUUUGUUAGAAGAUCAUUUAUAUUUUAUUGAGGUUUGACAAGCAUAUCCAUAUUCAAAAUGGGUCAAGCUCCAGAUGAUUUAACCCAUGCUCAACUGACCCCAAUGUCACCAAUAUGUAAAAGAGUUAAAUAGAAGAGGAGAAGGAAGUCUCAUUGUUUUAUUCUUUCAUCGCUAUUUAUGCUUGAUUAUUAAAAACGGAUAGACGUAUAAGCGAAGGUUGAGAGCAACAUCCCACUCUUCUUUCUAAUGACAGGUUUUGACUUCAUUAUUUUUAGAAUGACGCAAGGGUCAUGCGAGUCUGCAAAGAUUUUAUAAUUCCUAGGAAGUUGGCGUCAACACGCUAAGUCUAGAGUCCACACGCUUCAAGAGACCGUGAGCCCGUUGAGUCGUCUCUCUUUUUUGUUAGUGUUCUCGAAAGACUUCUUACAAACCAAAAGCUUAAUUGGAACACCGGCAAAGAGUAAUUCCAAUGGGGUACACCUUUUGGUUGGGGGAGAGAGAGUUGCCACUGGCUCUCGUGAGCUAGUGUUUUUUGACUUUAUUGGGUGUAUUCGUACACGUACUGUAUGAGAACCCGUUUUCAGCAAAAAAGAAGUCAUUCCAAUGGGGUAAGAAGCUUUUGGUCAUCAAGUGCCAUCAAAUACAAACAGCUACACACACACACACACCGUGCUCAUAAUAUCAAGAAUGUGAGAAGUAUAUUCUGAUAUUAAAAGACCAUAAUAAUAGCCUUUUGUCAUGUAAUGCUCUGAGAUGUACAUGAGUGCAUUUUGUGAUGCAUCGCAUCGGAAUCUACUGCUGACACAACACAAGCAAGUUGAUGAAAUGAUUGGAACCUGUUUUGGAAAAACAUGGAUGACAGAGAUCACCAUAAACAUGGGGGAUAAAGCUCAAGUUUGAAUGGUUGCAAUAAAAUUUCAAAAUGGUCACUUUAUCACGAUUAUGCUUGCAUUGCAUCGCUUUAACAAAUGAUGGCUACUGCUACAAUCAGAAGGGAGUACUGGUUGAUCCAAAUAAGGGAUAACCACAGCUUCAUAGUUUGCGAUCUCUCUUUCUGAUACAAUAGAUUCAUAUACACAUAUCUAUAAUAGCUUCAGUUCCAGAGCUGUCUCCCUGCAUUCUUGCAAGACUUCAAUGCUGACAGUCUUCUGGCUUGGAUGCCUCUCCCCAUAUUUCAAGGAUCGUGAAUAUAUCAUGUCAAUGCUGUUGUGCUGAUAAUAAUGUCAAAAAAGCGAUGGAAUUGUUGGUUCCAGCAGAUGGGCGACCACCAGCAAGUCACCAUGCUUCUCUCCUUUCCACAUUUGCAAAUGAUAACCAAGGUUCACUUACUGUGUAGUAGGUUUCUGAGAGCUCGAGCAUUUACUAGUUUUUCUGCCAAGGAUUAUAGUGCACUCUUGGUCAUAGGCAAAAGGAGAGACAGGAAUAAGCAAGCCAACAGAGCAACACACCAAAAAAAAGGGCAUAAUUACACACAAAAGAAAUUCUCACCGGAGAUUCAUGCGAAGUUCCUCUGCAAUAAAAUCUGAAGAAGCACCAGUCGAGAAUCCUAAUCUAAACAUGAGUUCUUCCAAGCGUUUCGCAUCAGUUAGGUAAAGAUAUCCAACCUAUUAAAAGAUAAAGUUCAAAAUCCUCGUCACAUAGGUAACCCAACUGUUUUACAUAGUUAUGAUCACUGGUUCCAACAUCAGCAUGCCAGACAUUAAAACAAUUAAUUCAGAGUUCUUUGCAGAAAUGGCCUUGCAGCCAUGACAGACUAACUGAUGCAAAAUUUUCUACCCCCUUGAGUUCAUAGACAAUGCUACCUACCAGCGUUUCAAGUGAAGAUGCUCUAUUGUAGACAGCUACACCAGCUCGUUUUGUAGUUCGUGAUUUGCUGGUAACCACAUUUUUUCCCCAACGAAGAAUGUCCCUGUACAAAAUUACGGAACACAUGAUGUCAUAUGCAGCUAUAGUUAAAUAGCCAGCAGUUGUACAACACUACCAAAAUCAUAUGCAAAAGACAAUUAAAAAGAUAGAGUAUAACUUAAUGAUUAUUAGCCAAGAAUUGCGGAACUAAAAUCAUGAACGAAGCAAUAACUUUACAAUACAAAGGUCAAUUUUAAAGGGUAUUAUCUUAAUUUGCACGUAGAAAUAUCACAUUGAAAAUGCUAUCACAUCCCUCAUGAAUAUUUGUUUAUCAUUUGCAAGAAAGGCAUGAUUCCUGCAUGUUGUGUGAAUAAUGAUCUAAAUCUUAACUAUAUGCACGUUCGUGAUAUGUUACUAUAUCUAAAGGUGGCAGUCAGGUCAGGUCAGGUUGGAUACAGGUCGAGUUUGUAUAUGGGUCAAAACACUGUCAACCCAAAACCGAUGUGUUUAUGAGACAAGUCAAAACUCUAGACCCGAACUCGACCUUUUUAUCAAGCAGGUAUCUCGAUCCAACCAGCAUAACUCGUUUAACAAAUGAGUCAAAUCAGAUUAAAUAGGUUAAAUGGUUUAAGCAGGUCUUAAAUAUGUUAAAUGUGUUUCAAAUGGGCUAAGUGGCUCUUAAAUAGGUCUGAUCCCGACCCAAUCCAACUAUUAAAUGAGUCAAAAUAGAUUAAACAGGUUAGAACUCUAAGCUUGGACCUGGCCUAUUUAAUAAACAAGUUAGGUUGAGUUGACCUUUUAUGACCCGGACCUGUUCUUGCCAUACCCAAACCUGCUUAAAUGGGUUGAUUGCAGGUUAGGUUGGCAGGUCGGCUCAUAAAUUGCCAUCCUUAACUACGUUCAUGGCUAGUUGUGAAUGUGAUAUCUAUGGUCCAAGUCUUGAAAUCAAAAAGGUUUCCCGUUAAAAAACCAUCUUCGCUUACAUUUUCUAUUUAUAGAAUUCUAACACAUACUUGAUGAGUCCAAUACCCUGCAUGACAUAGAAAUACAGACCAUCCAAAAAGUUGAUUUGAUCAGAUUAUAGCAGAAAAAACAAAUAUAUAAUAACAAAUAUAAGCAAUUGAGUAUAGAGUUGUCAAAUUCCUGAAAGAAAACAAUUUGAAAGAACAGGUUUUGGAUAUGAUUGUCAUGACUGAAAAAUAAGCAUGUAUGACAAUUGAAUUAGUAAGAUUUUGAAUAAACUAUUUAGCUAUAGUCAUCGAAACAAUUCAGGGUUUACAUGAGCAAGGAAAAAUAGCAACUAAAACUUAAGAAUCUUGCUUUAACC